GAGAAGAAAGAAAAAACAGAGAGAAAGAGAGGUUUUUGUGCAUUUCUUUUACAGAAACUUUUAUAGAUCAUAUUCAAGACCAAUAAUGAGAAUUGAAUUUCAAUUCUGUUGAAUUGAUUUCUCCGAUCCUGAUUCUGUUGAAUUCUCAAGGAAUUUGAUCUUCAUUUGUGAAGCAGAGUACUCGAUAUUUUCUUUACUGUACAUAAUAGCUUUGUAGAUUUUUAACUGAAGAGAGGUUUUGUUUCAGGUGAGUCAAAUUGAAAUCCGUGGAAUUUAAUGUCCUUGAAUUUUGCUUCUUCUUCUUCUUCUUCUUCCUAUUGAAUUGUGGUUAAAAGCAAAGUUGAGAUCCAUUUGGAAUUGGGAAUAUAAGGAGUUGGAGUUUCGAUUCAAGAUCUGAUCGUACAAGUUUUGUCUUGAUUUGUGUUUUCUGGGAAAUUGAAUUUGAGAGGGAAUUGGAACUUUUUAUUAGAAUUUAUUAAAUUUUGGGUUAUGAUUGUUGAUUACUAUUUUUCUUCAAUAUUGUACUGAUUUUGGGGUUUAAGAGGUUUCAGGUGUGGGUUUCCAUUUUUGGUUUUUUUAAAGAAGAAAAUUGCAAUUGGAUUUGAUGAAUUACAUAUUGGGAGUUUAAGUUAUUUGGAUUUAGUUGAAUUGUGUGGUUGGUGAGGAUUUACGGAAGUUUUUUUCUAAAUCAAUUCUAACUUUGUGAUUAUGUUAAAGCAAAAAACAAUUUCUGGAUUUGGAAUUUGCGCCUUGAAUUGUGAUUCCUGAAACACAACAAUCGCAAUUUGAUGUGAAUUUUUUUUUUUGGUGUUUAACUUGGAUCAUUUAUGUUAGAUUGAUAGUUACCUUGUGUUUGAUUUCUGUUUGAGAAUUUUGAGAUCUCUAAGUUGAUCUGAUGAUCCCAGCAGGUCUUUUACUUUUUUUUUUUUUUAAAGUUGAUUUCUUGUUGUCAGGAUUUCUAUUCUAAUUGGGUUGAGAUGAAAGUUUAGAUGUUUUUCAUUCCUUAGGAUAUUUUGGAAUAGAAACAUGCGUCCUUUGAUCCAUUUGCUUGAUUAUUAGGACCUAUGGUAUUCUACUCAGGUUGCCGUCUGGUUUUUUCUAGAAUAUUUUUACUUCACUUUUUCCGCCUCUGAUGAAGCAAUAAUACAUGGAUCUUCGUUUCUAAUGGUGGCUGGUGGGUCACUAUGAUAAUCAUUCGAUUAAAGUGCCAAACCUUUUAUUGGGCAUGAGUUUAAUGAGUUGGCCAUGUCUUUUGAUCCCUUCUCUUGCAAAGUUUUUCAUUGUAUAUGUGAAUUUACCAAAUUGCAUUAAUGCAUUUUUUGCUUCAGGAAGAUUCUAGUAAAUAAUUCCUUCUCAAUUCCCGUGGAAUGAUUAAAUUGCAUCUAUAUACUGAUUUAGUUAUUUCUCGUCUGAAUUUGAUGACAGUGGAGAAANNNNNNNNNNNNNNNNNNNNNNNNNNNNNNNNNNNNNNNNNNNNNNNNNNNNNNNNNNNNNNNNAAUGCAAUUUCAGGUGUUCCAGCUUUACAACCUCCAUUCUUUCUAAGCAUUUUUUCUAACUUUGUUUGUCUUGGUUGAUUCCAGCGGAGGGCUCUGCAUAAAAAGAAAGUUGAAGUAUGUGCAUUUGAAUUACUUGCUUCUUUAGCAGGCAAAUUAUUGCAGGAGAGUGAAAGUUCUUCUGCUUCUAGCUUUGCAUCUGGAACAAAUGAUCAGCCUGCAAUUGGUGAUGUUGUUUUCAGACAGGACCAAGGUGCUGAUAAACUGCCAAAAACUGAGUGCAUUGAUCAGGGAAGCUGUGAAGAAAGCGUUUUUCCUGACUUCACAUCAGCUAACAGCGAUCAAAAGUGUCUUCUGAAGGAGUCCCCACAUACUGAGAGUGAUUCCAUUGUGGAGCGCUCUUCAGUAAUCACAAUUUCUGGUUCUUCAGAGAAAGCUAGUAAUGAUGCUAAGUCUGUGAUUAGCAACAGCAAGACUUCAUGUAAUAAUUUCCCUUGUAAAGUAGAGGGAGGCUCUCCUGUUUCUGGGGGGGAUUGUUGUGUAGAAAAUGGAUUCAGCAGACAGCGAGAUGUUCAAAGUCUGGAGACUGGAGGUUUGAUUAUGGAUAACAAGCCCUGUUCAAAGGAUUCUAUGGAAUUGUGUAUGAAAAUUCCUGCAUUGGCCAAUAUAGAUAAUAAUGUCAAAAUGCCAUCAUGCAGGAAUCCUGUUCCUAAUGCUUCUAUUUUAAAGCUUAGGAAUAAUAUUAAAUUAGGUAUUAGAGAUGAUGAUGAAAAAUUUUCUAGGUGUACUAAAUCUGGCACCAAGCCAAGGGCAUUUAGGCAUCCGUCCCGAAUUGGAGACCGGAGAAUAAGGAAAUUAUUGACAUCUAAGUAUUGGAAAGUUGCUCCAAAAUUGAAAGAUUGUGAACUUUCUAACGGUGGUAAGCAGCUGUUAAAUAGUUCAUUUUAUUAUGCCUUAGAUUACUUUGACAGUAUGUAUAUUUGUGUUUGUGUUCCUACAGAGGUAAAUGCAAUUAUUCUGAUAUUUUGUGCUAUCAUUUUUAGAUGGGGGUAUGAAGCCUCUUUACCGCAAGAGGAAAAUAUGUUACAGUCGCGGAGCAUAUCAACAUGACUUCUUUUAUAAGAGGCGGAAACUUUCUGACCAUAGCUUAGUUGUAACUUCUGAUGGAGGGUUCAGUAGUGAGAGUGUUUGCAACUCACCUGAAAAAGGAGUGCAUAUGAACAAGAAUGGCUUAGCUGCAAUGUUUCAUGGAGGUCUUUUUCUACCUUACUACUUGAUUGCCUCUGUAUUUUCUUGAUGUUCAAGUCAUUGAUUGCUAAAUGGUUAAAUUUUUUAUUCUCAGAAAAUGGGAUGUCAUCUUCAACUAUUGGUCAUCAAGCUUCUUUCAAUUCCGUGGAUUCUCAUGGUACUAGAGCUAGACAACUAGCACCGAGUUCGAUGGAUAAUUGUUGAUGUAAUCUAAUUGUGCUGUGUCAUCCAGAUAUUCUUAUAAGAUUCAUUUCUUUUGUACAGUGAAGUUUAGCAUCAAGUCCUUCAGGAUACCAGAGCUUUUUAUUGAGGUCCCUGAAACCACGACUGUUGGUUCUCUGAAGGUAUAGAUAUGGAUUCUUUUCUUUAUUCUGUUAAAUUUAGGUUACCCCAUCCUAGAUAGCAAUUUUCCUCUCUGAAGGGCUGGGUCCUUGGUUUUUCAUGCUUGUUGGUUUCUUUACUAUUUUUCUAUUGAUAGAUUUCAUGUGCAUGUGUUUCUUAUGUGCUAAGCACAUUCAGUAAAUAGGUCAUUAAUUGCCAUUGCAAUUCUAAUGUUGGUUUUCUUUGGAAAUUGUUGCAAAGGCUUACUGAUUGCUGAAUUUCUGAUUCUUCGUUACUUGACUUUCUAUAGAGAACUGUCAUGGAGACUAUGACAGCUAUACUUGGAGGCGGUUUACGUGUUGGAGUGGUUUUUCAUGGGAAGAAGGUUAGGGAUGACAAUAGAACUUUGUUACAGACUGGUAUAACUUCAAAAGAGAAUCUUGAUUCGUUGGGUUUCACAUUGGAACCUAGUCCCGGGCAAGCUCUUUUAGCUGUGUGCACCGAGGAUCCUCCAGUUCCAUUAUCAUGUGAUAUUUCUCAACUUGUGUCAAGGUAGUUCUUUUUCCAAUUUAUGGUUUCCAAAAGUUGGAAUGUUUCUUGGGGCAUUUUUGUGAACUUAAUGUUGUGAAGCUGAUGUAUUUUUCUUUAUUCCCAGGUCCCCAGCUGCUCCUGUUUUAGAUUCAGAUAAUUCAGAUGCCUUACCUGACCCUCCUCCAUUGACUAAUUCAAGGGAUAACAUUGAUAAUAAUCAUGAACUAGCUUCCUCCUAUACUGACAAGUUAACUGACCAAACAUUGUCAGAUUCUAGAGCUCUGGUUGCAGUUCCACCAGUGAGUGUUGAUGCACUUGCUAUGGUUCCCAUUAACCAGAAAACUAAACGAUCUGAACUUGUACAGCGUCGAACCAGGAGGCCAUUCUCCGUUUCAGAAGUAGAAGCACUAGUGCAGGCAGUUGAGGAACUUGGAACUGGAAGGUAUAGUUUUAUUUAUGGCCCAACUUUUUGAGUUGUUUCCGUGAAGACAGAAGCCUUGAGAAUGUUCUCAUUUUGCAGGUGGCGGGAUGUGAAGUUGCGUUCCUUUGAGAAUGCAGACCAUCGAACUUAUGUGGAUUUGAAGGUAAUUUUAUAUCAUUUUCAUGGGAAACUACGUAGCAUUUGUGAAUGCAGGCGAAUUUUUUUUAAAUCUCUAUGGAGUUUUGGGUUUUGAUUGGGAAUCAAGAAGGUUAUGUCUGGAGGCAACUUGUUUGGCUCAACUUGUUGCCCAUUGAUAGCAUAUACAUUUAACAUAGCUACAGUAUGUGAAUGCUUUAGCCAUUGUAUAUUUUGGCUGGAUGAACUCCAGCUACAGGCUCACUAGGAAUGUUGUGUUUUUGAGUGAAACAGCUUUUGUCACUUCAAUUAGGGGCUAAGAAUAACACACUUCUAGAGUGCUUUGCUUCAGUGUUCAAAGUGUAUGAAUAGCCACGCCAUACUGUUGUUUGUUUUCUGUUUUUUUUUUUUCUUUGGAAUUGUUCUGUCACUUAUAGCAUCAACUUGUGCAGGAUAAAUGGAAGACAUUAGUUCACACGGCCAAGAUUGCCCCACAGCAAAGAAGGGGCGAGCCGGUGCCGCAAGAGCUCUUGGACAGGGUUCUGGCUGCUCAUGCAUACUGGUCUCAACAUCAAGCUAAGCAACAUAGCAAGAAUCAGGCUACUGUUUUAAAGAUCACAGAGGAAGGUAUUAUGAUGUANNNNNNNNNNNNNNNNNNNNNNNNNNNNNNNNNNNNNNNNNNNNNNNNNNNNNNNNNNNNNNNNNNNNNNNNNNNNNNNNNNNNNNNNNNNNNNNNNNNNNNNNNNNNNNNNNNNNNNNNNNNNNNNNNNNNNNNNNNNNNNNNNNNNNNNNNNNNNNNNNNNNNNNNNNNNNNNNNNNNNNNNNNNNNNNNNNNNNNNNNNNNNNNNNNNNNNNNNNNNNNNNNNNNNNNNNNNNNNNNNNNNNNNNNNNNNNNNCUGUAAUGAUUCCAUCCAAUAAAGAACACUAACAGAAAUUUACAGUGUUUUUUCAAUUCAUUUAUUAUUUGGUGUAAUACAUGUUGAACUGUAGAAGAAUCCAAUGAAAUGUAGUUUUUAUUAUUCUUUUUUCGCGUUCACUUUUCAUUGUUCUUGUUUUUAUUGGCCACUUAUUCUGAUGCAAGUAUCUGUCAUUUUCGCUAUUUUGAAUCGAAUGUCAGCUUUUCUUGUUAAUGUAGUUCUCUCUCUCUAAAUAAUAGAACUUACUAGCUAAGUGAUUUAGUAGGGUCAAUAUAUUUAUGAUGCCUCAUCUAUUAGGAGGGGCUUUAUUGAUAUUUUUAUUUUGUUUGUGAGAUUUUGAGUUUUAUUUUAUUAUCUUUUGAUAUAGUAAUCUACAGCUAUUUGUGUAAAUAACUGUUAUACAGUUCAUAGUUUAUUAAAAUUGUUUAUUAAUUUUAAAUAUAUAGUUUUUUUAUUAAUCUUAAAAAAUAUGGUUUUUUUGAUUGAUUUUUUUAUCAAUCUUAAAAAAUAAAUGUGACAAGAGAGAUGACUUGUUUAAUAAAGGAGGCCAUGGAUAGAUAGUUAAGCUUGGAAGCAAAGGUUGGUCAAAAAUCAAUCAAUUUAGGCAGUGAGAGAGAGAGCAUUUAUGAGAAACUACAACUAGUAGUAUUCUAAACUUUGCUCCCUUCCCUGCACUUGACCACCAUGUGAUUAUGAGUCUUUUCUAAUAUUGCAACAAAGACUUUAUUUGCUUUCAAAGAUGGCUAAACUUGGUAGCUUUCUUGUAAUUCAAGUCUCCCACUAUUCUCAUUACAGCAGCAACCAAUCUGGAUCAUGUCACGUGCCUUCUACAUGUUCAUAUCUAUUCUAACAGACCUGUCUGUCAAGUUUUGUAUUCUUUCUCUUUUUCACUUUUGCUUUUCUUUUCUAAAGAAAAAUUUCACUUUGUUGUAUUUUCCAAAAUAAAUUAUUACAAAUAGGUCCAAAAUUGAGGGUUAGGAGGGGUGUGGAAUCUGGAUCUAACCAGGUGCAUACGAUCGGUGGGUCUAUUCUAGGCAUGUGGUAAGGUGUGGAUGAGAUAUAAUUAUAUGAUAUAAAGUCAUGAUUAAAGGAAUAAUAUGAAUUUUUGUUUUGUUUUUCUUUUUUUUUAUCGGUUGGAGGGCUAAAAAGUUAUCAUUAUUAAGAAACCAAAAAAUUUCAUGUUCUCUCAUCUGAAGGUGAAAGAAAAUAACUUCUAAUGAUGGGAUUGUUACCCUCUUUUUGGUUUUCUGCAGUAAAGUUUGGAGUAUAAUGCUGAUUCGGAUUUGAGAUAUAUACUUUUACCUUAUUUAUGGGUAUAAAUGAAACAUUGCAAGAUUGUAUUAGGCUAGUACUUGUAUGUAUUUUGAUAAGUCACAUAAAACUUAAUAUGGCACAACAACUAGAUUAUGACCUUUCUGUCGUAACUAAGGAGAGCAUUUAUUGGACCAAAAGCCCAUGGGCCGAACUCCACUAGCCAUGGGACUCCGGUUCAGAAACAGAUUAAUGGAAAGAGUUGGUACGCACCCACCCACCACCUAAUCAUAACAGCAAAGCCUUGGAUUACAUGAGAAGUUGGCCACUUUCGGUUUACCCAUUUUUCAUCUCUGGAUUAGGUGAUGGCGAAUGGUGAUACUUUGACAAGUUAACUUUUACAAAUCAAAAUUUUAGCAAAAAAGAAAAAGAAAAAACAUUUAUUUUGAGCUAUAGUUCAGUGCAUCAAUUUGAAUUCUGAUACUCACUACUAAAGGGAUUUCAAUUUACUACUAAAUUAAAAUACUAGAUAGUUUAUCAUUAUAAUUGCUGAUAAAGAUUAUAAGUUCUUCUAACUCUCGAUAAUUCGAUAAUUUAUUAAUUAUUGUAUUACUAAAGUAGAAUUCUCAGUAAUUUUAAAUCUAUGAUUGCUCGAUUAUAUAAUUAUCAAAAUUUUAAUGUCGUUUUCUUAUGCUAUCUUCAGUUAUUGACCUUUUCUUUUGGACAAAAUAUCAUGACAUGAUGAUUUUGCAGGAUGGACAUAGCAGCUACUUGAUUCUUACUCAUGCUACAAAUCAUGAUGAAUAAUUUGUUCUUUUUUCUAAUGGGAGCAGAAAAGGAAAAGGAAUUUUUGUCUAUAAUAUAAAUACUUAAUUAAAUUAUAUAAUAUUACCAUUAAAAAGUUACGUAAUUGAUAUUUUUCACCUGAAAGAGUUGCUAUAUGCAAAUAGUAAUUAAAGGAUGUAUGGUUCAGAUCCAUUUCAAAAUAAUAAUAAAAAAGAUUACAUAAUAUUUCAUAAUUCAAUUUGAGUGGCAGGUGAAGUUAGAAACAGAAAGAUUUAGGAAAAGAAAGAAAGAAAGAAAGAAGAACAAAAAAAAAACAGAAUAUUCUAAGGUAGAAACAAGAGGGUUGGGUCCAAAAUGAUCCCGAUUUGAUUGAGUGGGCCUCAUAUAUGCUUAAGAACAGAAAUGGGUCUGAAGCUUGACCAUACAUUUUAAAGGACCCAUCAUUUUCUUCAUCAGUUCAUUGUACCUGCCUAAUUUCAAUUAUCUCAUGGUGUAAUUGGUCAAUUGGAUAAUCGUGGUGUCACAUUUAGACUAAAUAACUAUGACCUUCUUUUCUAUAGUUUGAAUAUUGUAUAUUUCUUCAAAGGUAAAUAGUUAGACCUUGAAUUCUUUUUUAUCACAUGUUAUAAAGGAAUAGCCAAUAUUUGGGACUUAUGUACUUUUAUUUAUUUUGGAUUGAGUCCUUAAUCUUUAAUUUGUUGACAUUGUGUCCUCAAAUUUUUAUUUUCGUGAAAUUUAAGUUUUUUCUUGACGGAAGAUAUAAAUAGUAUUGACUCGGUAUUCUUAUAUGUUAAAUUUUAAAUAAUAACGUAAAUAGAAUUAAUAUCACCAGAAUAAAAAAUAAAAUAAUUAGAGAAAAUAUAAAAGUACAGAAAUUUAGUGUAUAAAACUUAAAUAUUGCUCCUUUCAUAAGAAGAAAAAUUGCUUAUAUGCACAUUAACAAGAGUGUAAUGUACGCUCUUCACUGCCUUUUAAAUUUUUUUAUAGAAAUAAAAAUAACUCAAUAUCACAGAAAUAGAGGGCCAAUUUUGGGGUAUUCCUAUUAUAAAACACAGGUAUAUUACGCCAUUAUUAAUAGAAUCACAUGGCAGUGGACCGUUGUAUAUAAUUAUAUAUUAUUAAUUUGAUUAAAAUUAAAAUUAAUUUGUUUUAGUCACAGCUAAAGUUGAGAUGGUCAAAAUUUCCUUUUUUUUUUUCCCAUAAAAAUACUAUAUUUUUAGUUUUAUUAGUCUAUUAAUUAUAUAAAAUAAGGUCAUCUAGAAUCUUUAUUUUUAAUAUAUCUAGAAGGAAAAAGCAUAUACGGAUGAACCCAUAAUGACAUUGACACAACCCAACAGGAGAUCUUAUCUUAGUGGACAAGCAUGUGGUUUAUAUAGAAAACAUAUGGAUAUUACAUUAAUUAUUAUCAAUAAGUAUAUUUUAAUAUAAAAAAUAAAAAAUAUAUAUUAUAUGUAAAAAAAUAUACUCAUAACAAUCAUUAAUCGUAUUUAUAAUUACACCGAAAGAACACUUUACUCGAUAACACUGAGCCAUAUAUCGACUUUAUAAAAGUAUNNNNNNNNNNNNNNNNNNNNNNNNNNNNNNNNNNNNNNNNNNNNNNNNNNNNNNNNNNNNNNNNNNNNNNNNNNNNNNNNNNNNNNNNNNNNNNNNNNNNNNNNNNNNNNNNNNNNNNNNNNNNNNGAAUGAUAUUUACUUUUUUUUUAUAAGUAUUAAUUAAUAAAAAAAGAUUUUUCUUCUUUGAUCUAUAACUGUAAUAGUAACAACUUUUUAAAUUUUAAUUUCUAUAUUUAUGUUUUUGCUAUUAUAUUAAUUAAUUAAUUAGUUUUAUUUUAUUUUCAUAUGAAAUUUCUUGCUAUAUUACAAAAUCUUUUUAAAUAAUGAUUAUUUAUUUGAUAUAUAUAUAUAUAUAUUUUUUUUUUCCUUAUUUACUUAUUUAAAUUUAUUAAUGAAUUUUGUGUUUUCUCUUUUUUCUAUAGUUUAAUUACUUUUUUUGUUGCUUUUACUAAUAUAAAUGUAAGAUUUACAUUUAUUUAUACUUUUUAUUUUUUUCUUUCCAAUAAUUUUUUUUAUUUUCAUUUAUUAAUUAUAGAACAAAUUCUAAAUAUUAUAUAAUUCUAUGAUUUUACUUAGAAACAGCUCUAAACAAGAAAAUAAAAAAUUUUAUUUUAAUAAAAAGGUAUGGAAACUAUUUAAUUUUUUCUUAAAUCGUAUUAAUUUUUUUUUCUCUUUAUGCUUUACUUCAAUUUUAUCUUUUAUUUAUUUUAUUUUAUUUUAUAUUACUGAAAUUUAAUUAAUAAUGAAUAAUCAAUUAUAUUUGAUCUACAUAUUUUAUAUUAUCAUAAAACUAUAAUUUAAGUAAGGAUUUUGACUUUUUUUUUAUAUUUUAUAGAUUCUCACAUUAUUUAUAUUAGUUUUUAAUAUUCAAAUUAAAAAUUUAUAAGUUGGAAAUCAGAAUAGUCAAAACAAACUAGAACUGGUUAAAAUGAGAAGUCAGUUAAGAUUGGUUUUCCCUCAGCUAGAAUUAGAAUUAUUAUUUCCAAUUCCAACUCUUAAAAAAUUCAAUUUAAUUAAUUUAUAUUUUAAAAAUAUAAUUGAAUCGAGCUGGAAUUGAAACGAGUCGGCUCUAUUAUCAUCAUGAUGUUUACUUAUAUUUAUAUAUAUAUAUGAUAAUUAUUAUAUAUGUAUUUGAUAUAUAAAUUAAUAUCAGUAGAGAAUAUAUAAUAUAAAUACUCUAUUAAUUAUUUAAUUUAUAUUAAAAAUUAUAAUAAUUUAAAUAAAAAUUAAGAAAUAUAAUUAUUGGUGGGGGGCGUCAGAGGCUGUUGCCCUGUGACCAACUCGAAUGACUUGCCCACUAGGGAACUCCUUUACAAUCAUUAAGAAAAAAAUCAAUGCCAAUCAAAUCAUAUAUAUAUAUAAAAUAUAAUAAAUCUAUUAAAUUCUGCAUAAAGCCCAAACAUUAAAUUAAUUAAUUAAUUAAUUAUUAAAUAUAAAAAAAGAGAUGUUAAGUACCAUUGAUUGACAUGGCACCGCAUGUAAUGCCAAUCAUCAUUGCUACUUUUUAGUAUUAUUGUUUUAUUGAUCAAUGAUAGUUUUAAAUUCAUAUUUUAAAUAAUGGUUUUAUGCUGUAAAUACAAGUACUCUACCAUUCAAUUAUUAAUAGAUAAAGAUGCACUUUAUAUGUAUAUAUAUAUCAAAAUCUUUUAUUAUAGAAAUAAUUAAAUAAUAAAAAAAUAUAUUUUAAAUAUAAAAUAAAGAGCUUAAUCUAUUUUAUUUUAUAUUUUAAUGAAGUACAUUAUUUUUUAUUAUUUAGCUGUCAUCCUUCGAGUUAUCAAUUACCAAAUUCCACUCUAUAUUUUAAUUUUAAUGGAAGUACAUUAUUUUAGUUGUCAUCUUUCAAGAUAUCAAAUCUGUUUUAUUCUUCUUCUGAUGGAAUUCAGUUUACUUUUGUUAUAAUAACCUUUUAAUACCUUAGCUCAUGAUCUGAUCUAACCUCAAUUUUGUCUUUUGAGCCUUGGACCAUACUUGCUUUGGUGCGUUGUACUUUGUGUGACUUUACUUUUGAAUGAAUUUGCUCUUUGAUAUUAAAAAAAAUAAAUAAAAAAAGUACACCAAAAAAGAACAAAAUUUAAAUGAUUAACACUUAAAAGGAAUAAGUAAUAAAAUAAAAUAUAAAAAGUAUAUUCAAUUUAAAUAAUUUUUUUACAUUUUUAUAUUUUGAAUAUUUCUUUAAAAUAUAUUAUUAUUUUUAUUAUACAAACUAUGCUUUUUAAAAUAAUAAAGAAACACAAUUAGAAAUGAUGUUAAAUCAAGGAUCAAAAUAUUUAAUUUUAUUUCAUGGAUAUAUGAUUUGCUUUUAUGUUAUGUUAUGUAUACAACAAGAUUUUGAAUAUGAAUAUGAAUAUGAAUAUGACAGAAAGCUCUAAUUCACAUGGGAUACAUGAAUGGAGUAAUGCUACNNNNNNNNNNNNNNNNNNNNNNNNNNNNNGGAGUAUUGCUUACUAUCUGCCAUUUUAUCUAUCUCCAUUGCUAGAGAGAUUUAAUCUCAAAUUCCUUUCUACUUCAGGAACACUAUGAUUCAAUAGUGAGAAGGCACAAAGAAGAUAGCCAUGGAAGCUUUUUCUCCAACCUCCUUGUUGUUAAUGGGUUGUCAUUUUAUAUGUUAUUUAUGACUUUUAAUUCAUGAAUUGGAGUUACAUAUAUAAUUAGCCGUGGAGCCAAAUCUCAAAAAGAAGAGGGACUAAAUAAUAUUUUUCCAAGUUAAGAGGGAUUAAAAUGAAAAUAAUCUAAAGGAUAUAAAGAAAAUUUCGAAAAUAUGAAACUUGAGGAUCAAAAUAGAAAAAAAAAAAAUCUAAAAUAAAAUUGAUAGCUUUUUCGGCUGGACCAAACAUAUUUUGAACCCAUAAUCUCCGUUUCCUUGUUUCAUGCAAUCCAAUGAAAGUUUUUAUUGUUUCUAAGAAAAUAUUAAUACAAUAAAUAUUAAAAAAAAUUAAUUUAAAAAUAGAGCCUAAUAGAAAAGGAAAACUUAUAAGUUGAUUAUUCAUUCCUUUCAAAAAAACAAGUUAAUUAAUUCAUAUUUAACAGCAAAUUUUUAAUUCAUAAUACUUUAAGAGGUUUUAAAGACCGUGUAAUAACAAUUGAUUACUUAUUAAAAGAAAUUAUGCAAUAUAAUUAUUAUUUAUAAUCACCAAAAGCAUUAAUUACAGAAUUAUAAAUAAUUUAUCAUAUAUAAAAUACAGAUUUUAUGUUUGACAUAUGACUUUUAUGUUGAUUAUAAUUUUAUAUUUUUAGAUUACAUUUUCUACUUAAAUUAAUAUAUUACUUAGUGUAUUAAUUUUGAAAAAUAGCAUUUAAUAAAUUUAUUUUAGUAAUUAAUAAUAAUAUUUAGUUUUAGAAAUAUUAUUAUAUUUUUAAUAUUAACUUAUGUAAUUAAUAUGUUAAUUAAUAGAAUUUUUAAUUUUAUGCGAUGACUAGCCUUUAUAAAGUAUUUAAGCUAUUUUAUACAAUUCUUUUGAUUUACCAUUAUUUGUAGCUUAUAAUCAGUUUGCAACUGUAAACAUUUCUUUCAUUUAAUGGCAGACAACAAAAAGGGCUGAGAUUUUGCAGCCGCGACCCACCUAAAUUCGUGAUCACGCCGGCAUCCUUUUCCUUUUUAGCUAUCCUUUCCUUUUUGUUGCUAAAAAAGAAGCUUUUGUUUUUGAUAAAAAAAAAAUCCUGCAGAGCUGGACCAGAGAGCAUUUUACCUCUUCACCUUCUCCGUAUGCUAUCUGUUCAUUUUCUUUGGACAAGUAACUCUUUUGAUUUAUUCCCAAGUUUUUAAUUUAUUUUCCUUCCUUUUUUCUUGUUAUGAAUCUUUGAAGCUUAAAAAAGUUCAAAUCUCUUUGUACCCACGUCUUGAUUUUUGGUAGUAUAGCUGUGAUCAAUAUGUAUGCAUUGAUUUUUUGACUUUUGUUGGGUUUACAUUAAAUUCAAUCAUUUUUAAUAAAUUUUUCUUAUAUAUGUGGCUAUUGAUGGCUUAAAGAUCUCAUUCUUUUUUUGCUUGUUUUUGCGUAUUCCUUUUGCUACUUUUAGGUUUCGGGUUUUGUUCUUUGAUAAAUUUGGACAACUGAUACUAGUUCAGAAGCUAUGCCCUGGAGGGGCAACUCUGAACUAGUGAAAGAGAUAACAUAACUGAAGUACCUUCUGGACUUUUGGAUGUUUGAUUUAUUGUUGGAAGUUUGAUAUUCUUAUGUUGGAGGUCUUGUGUAGUGGGUAUACUGAAUGUUAAAGAGCUGGAUUUUAAAUUUAGUUUGGGGUAUCAGUUAUUUUGGUUAAGUUGCACUAGAUGGUCAUGGAUCAACCUUUAAUAGGACUAUAUGGUUCUGUCAGUGGCUUGAAGCUCAAUGAUGAGAUACUGUCUGUUUUAUCAGGUCAGGAGCUUGAUAAUGGGUUACAAUUGGACAGGGAUUUUGUCAACCAAAACUAUGUUAAACUUCCUCCUUAUGCAACCCCUAGUUUUUCAGUCUCGUCUUCAACUGCAAGCCAAGAUGGUGAUUUGCAUGAGGACUUUGAUUUUAGUGAUGUGGUUCUUAAGUACAUUAGCGAUAUGCUUAUGGAAGAAGAUAUAGAAGAGAAGACCUGUAUGUUUCAAGAAUCUUCAGCAGCACUGCAAGCAGCUGAGAAAUCAUUGUAUGAGCUUAUUGGGGAGAAGUAUCCCCCUUCAAUUAAUUAUGACUCUGCAGCUCAUUUAGUUCAUAACCACAGAAGGUCAGAUGAAAAUCAUGACUUGAACUAUGUUAAUUGUACAAGCAGUUCAAGUAGCACUAGUGGUAGUAACUUAGUUGAUCCUGGUUUGAAUUCUGAUUUGAGCGAGUACAAGUUCUCGAGAUCUGUAUCGCAAUCAGCCUCCCAGUCAUCCAAUAGCUCUGGAUACAGCAUAGGUACUGCUGCUGAUGGGCUAGUAGAUUCUCCAUUGAGUACAAUUUCUGAGAUAUUUAGUGACAGCGAGUCUAUUCUGCAGUUUAAGAAAGGAUUUGAAGAAGCAAGUAAGUUUCUUCCAAAUGGUAGUCUGUUUAUUGAUUUGGAGAGUACUGGUUUGUUUCUUAAAGACCUGAGAGAAGAAACUAAGGAUGUGACAACUAGGGCUGAAGAGAAUCACGAGAGUGAGUAUUCUCCAGAUGAAUCAAGAGGAAAGAAGAAUCCUCAUCCUGAUGGUUUGAUUUUAGAGGGCAGGAGUAACAAGCAGUCUGCAGUUUAUACUGAAACAACCGUCAGUUCAGAAGAUUUUGACACGGUAUUGCUCAACUGUGGAGAAAGUGAAUCUGCUCUUCGUGUAGCCUUGCAGAAUGAAAAAAAUAAGGAUGUCCAACAGAAUGGAACAAAAGGAUCAAAUAGUGGAAAAGGUCGAGGUAAGAAACAAAAAGGUAAGAGUAACGUGGUGGAUUUGAGAACUCUUUUGACUCUUUGUGCACAAGCUGUGGCAGCAGAUGAUCGGCGGAAUACGAAUGAUUUGCUGAAGCAAAUUAGACAGAAUGCUUCUCCUACAGGGGAUGGUAUGCAGAGAAUGGCCCACAUUUUUGCUGAUGGCCUCGAGGCACGCAUGGCUGGUUCAGGAACCCAGAUAUACAAAGCAUUUAUGAGCAGGCCUACAACGGCUGCCGAUGUUUUAAAAGCUCACCAUCUGUUUCUUGCUGCAUGUCCAUUUAGGAAGCUAUCCAAUUUCUUCUCAAAUAAAACAAUCAUGAAUAUAGCUCAAAAUGCAACCACACUUCAUAUUAUUGAUUUUGGUAUUCUUUAUGGUUUCCAAUGGCCUUGCCUUAUUCAGCGUCUCUCAUCCAGGCCUGGUGGACCUCCCAAGCUGCGGAUUACUGGGAUUGAUUUUCCACAUCCAGGUUUUCGACCCGCAGAAAGGGUCGAGGAGACAGGACAUCGCCUAUCAAACUAUGCAAAAAAAUUUAAUGUUCCAUUUGAGUUUAAUGCUAUAGCACAGAAGUGGGACACAGUUCAAAUCGAGCAACUCAAGAUUGAUAAAAAUGAGGUUCUUGUUGUGAACUGUCUGUACCGGUUAAGAAACUUGCUUGAUGAGACUGUGGUUGUGGAGAGUCCAAGAACUAAUGUUCUCAAUCUUAUCAGGGAGAUGAAUCCAGAUGUUUUCAUAACUGGAAUUGUGAAUGGAGCGUAUAAUGCUCCAUUCUUUAUUACACGAUUCCGAGAGGCUGUUUUCCACUACUCUACUCUGUUUGAUAUGCUGGAGACUAAUGUGCCUCGUGAGAUUCCAGAGAGGAUGCUGAUUGAGAGAGAAAUCUUUGGAUGGGAAGCUAAGAAUGUCAUUGCAUGCGAAGGGGCCGAGAGGAUUGAGAGGCCAGAGACAUACAAGCAGUGGCAGGUUCGAAUAUUAAGGGCUGGGUUUAGGCAGCUUCCCUUGAACAAAGAGAUCUAUGCAGCAGCAAAGGAGAAGGUGAAUGCACUAUAUCAUAAGGAUUUUGUGAUCGAUGAAGAUAGCCGAUGGUUGCUUCAGGGCUGGAAGGGUCGGAUUGUUUAUGCACUCUCUUCAUGGGAGCCUGAUCAUUGAAAAUUCCUCUUGCCCUAUAUCAAAGUGAGGAUCAUAAGAUUCUACUUGUGUCCAAUUCCCGGUCCAUGUGCCCAUAAGAGCUUCUGUCAUGGAUUUCUCAUAAAUGAAUUCUCAAGGUAAAGGCAUUUUUCCUUGUAAAAAGUAAAGGCAUCUUUGCUAAUAAAAAACUAAACUUUUGUUUGUUUCUUUUCCUCACCUUGCCAUUGCUCUAUAUAUAUAUAUAUAUAUGUAUAUAUAAGGGGUUUUAUAACUCUUGAAUCCGAUAAUAGUUUUACAUAUUCGUUCAGCAGGAGACUGGGAGUGGAGUUUUGCCUGCUGCUGUUGAUUAUGCUAUUACAAGCCUGCAGUUUCAGUUACGAGGUAGCAGAAGCAAUUGUUAAUUUGUUAGGGGAAAGAUUCAUUGUAUUCAUGGCAUUCAGCUUGUCUUAAAUCUGGGGUGAGAAUGAAUUAGUCUAUGUUAAUUACAUGCAUGCAGGAAAAAAGAAAGGAGACAGGAAAAGCAAAAGAAGAACCUAAAAACUGGUUCAAGGUGGCCAUGAAUAUUUAUCAAUUCAGACCUUAUCAAUAACAUGUGUACAUUGCUCUUCUUUUUUCUUUCUCUUCUUCAAUUCGUCUUUUUUUUUUUUUUUUUUUUAUAAUAGAAAUUGUAACAUGUGGUAGUCAAAUUUGCCAGUCAUUUUCUUAUCUGCGAAGCAAGAUGAUGUAUCGUACCUAAUCUAUGUCUAGCUUAUAUUAUUGUAGAGUUCUGUGAAAUGGGGUCCCAUUCUGUGAAGAUUCAGAACUCUUGAAAUACAUGGUAUAGGCUAGCAUUGUCCGGUUGUAUAUCAGUAAUUGAAUUUAAAAAACCUGUGGACAUGGUCGUCUGUUUUUCUGCUUACUAACUUCGCUCUGUUUGAUUAUACUUGGAAUUAAGUGUCCGUCUAUUAGUUGACAUGUUCAUAUAUUACCACCAAAGUAUACAUAUUCUUUAAACUUACUACACUCUAAUUAUAUCUUGACUUUGCUUGUCAUUUUGUAUUCAUUCAUGUCAGACUGGUUUAAACUAACAGGAUUUCUGUUGGACACUCAGCAAAUAUAUACGUAUGUGAAUGAAAGCAAAGAGUUUCCACCACUCAAAUGCAUGAGAGCGACCCUUUUAUUUAUUUAUUAAUGAAUUGCUUAACCUUCAGCUUCUAGUUAUUGUGAAAAAUGAUUGAUUGUAUUGACACCUCGAUCCGGAACUAUAUCAGCAGCUUGUANNNNNNNNNNNNNNNNNNNNNNNNNNNNNNNNNNNNNNNNNNNNNNNNNNNNNNNNNNNNNNNNNNNNNNNNNNNNNNNNNNNNNNNNNNNNNNNNNNNNNNNNNNNNNNNNNNNNNNNNNNNNNNNNNNNNNNNNNNNNNNNNNNNNNNNNNNNNNNNNNNNNNNNNNNNNNNNNNNNNNNNNNNNNNNNNNNNNNNNNNNNNNNNNNNNNNNNNNNNNNNNNNNNNNNNNNNNNNNNNNNNNNNNNNNNNNNNNNNNNNNNNNNNNNNNNNNNNNNNNNNNNNNNNNNNNNNNNNNNNNNNNNNNNNNNNNNNNNNNNNNNNNNNNNNNNNNNNNNNNNNNNNNNNNNNNNNNNNNNNNNNNNNNNNNNNNNNNNNNNNNNNNNNNNNNNNNNNNNNNNNNNNNNNNNNNNNNNNNNNNNNNNNNNNNNNNNNNNNNNNNNNNNNNNNNNNNNNNNNNNAAGUAAAAGCUGAAAAUGCGGGUGACUUGGUUGGUUGGGGUCUGGCAGAUUUCUAAUGUGGAAAUGGAAUAUUCAUAGCACUGACGUGGUUAUGGAUUGGCUAUAUUGUAACCAUUCUCUUCAUCUGAUUGGAUAUGGCAUCCUCAGCAUAUACAACUUAAUAAACUUAUUUUUCUGAUAACAUUAUUUAUUGAAUCCAUAAUUGGAACCACAGCAUACUAUAUAAUAUAUGUCUUUUCUAUUUUUUUUUAUUUUUCCUGAUACUCACAGAUAAUCAAUGCUGAUACGUUCAGAUUAUGUUCACAUGUAUUUGCUUGGUGUCAUGUGUAUGUAUUAAACAAAAUUAUAAUAAUGAUAGCGUGCGUACAAACCCAUAUAAACCACUUUUAGAUUCUUCUUUUUCUUUUUUGUUCAGGAAUCAGGAAUAAAUUACUCCUUGGAAUUCUUAUAUAUUUGUGCCAACAAUAGCACAAAAGAUUUUAAAAUUAAAAUCUUGAAACAAUAGAAACUUUAAUGUUAUUACAUUGGACUUGAUGUCAUGCAUUACCAAAAUGCAAAGAUUAAGCAAUCUUAAUAUGAGAGUGUAUUUAUUAUAUAAAUAGUCUAACAAAACUACCUACUACCAUAAACUAUGACAAGGUAUAUUUCUUUUUCCUGGUAAUGUGUUAAGGGUGGAAGAUUUUUUAAUAUGUGAGCCUUUUGAACUUGAUAGUAAUAUAAAGAAACAGUAGAUGUUUAAUUGUACCGAAUAUUGUCUACAAUUUUAAUGUAGUAGUUGAUAUGAAUAUAAGACAAUUAUUAUUUUACUUAUAAUGUUAUAAUCUUUUUUCCAUAUGAAGAGAAAACAAAUGAAAGAAAAAAGAGCUAUACAGUUUAAAUUUUAUGUUUUUCGAUGCCCGAUUAAUUGAAUUCUUUCUUUUUAUGAAUAAAAUACAGCGACAUACCUUUUUUUUAUAACUAGAAAAAAUAAAAAUAAAAAUUAAUCAUGCGUCUUCACUCGACUUCUCUUUUUUAUAAUUAUUUCUUAACUAUCAUUUUUAACUAAAUAUGACUUUAUUUUACUAGUAGUGUUGAACUUGAAACUAGUAAUAAAUAAUUAAUUAUCACAUUAUAUAUCAGGUACUAAGCUACGUAUUUUGUAAGUUUUAAAAGUUAAGCUAGAAUUGAUUAGGAUCAAAUUGUUAAAUUUCAAAUUUUUGUUAGGUCAAAAUUAUAUUUUAAUUAGUGGAGACAUUAAGAAAACGUGUGUACAAAUAUAAUAUAUAUUAAUAAAAGAUGAAAAUAUUUUACAAAGUUGAGUGGGUCACUUGAUCUCACUCAACAACAUUGCUUAUUAUUGUUUGCAAAUUGAAUUAAAUAAUUUUUGAAUUUAUUUUAAGUUUUUUCUCCAUGCCUAAUGAUAUUUCACUUUUCUUGACUAUAUACAUUAGGGGUUAAAAAUAAAAUAAAAAAGUAUUUAUUUAUCCCCUAUUUCAAAUAUAUUAUAAAUGUAUUACCAUCGCAAAAUGAAUAAAUUAAAAAUUUAUUUAUAUUUGUAAUUAUUUAUUUAUAAUUUCUUUAUAGUCGAACACUUUUUUAAAAAAAAAUAUCUUUUUAUAAAAUUGAGCUUAGGAGGUAAAAUAUGAUUUUUAGUUUUUUUUAAUUAUUUCACAAUAAUAAAUGAUAAAUAGAGAAUCUAAGAAGUAAAUUAGAGUUUUUAAGUUAAAAGGGUUUUAGAAUUUUUAAAAUAAUUUAAAGAGACCCUUGUUAGUUCUUCCUCAAUAAGGUUUAUCCAAUCUUAUAAAAUCUUCAUCAAAUAAGAAAAGAUAUAUGAUAAAACAAAUACAUAGAGUCUUAAAAAUAAAUUAUUUAGGUUGUAUGUCCAUUAUUUAUAGGUGUACAUGUAAUAAAACUGAACUUGGCAAAUUCCACAUAUUACAGAUGGAAGAACGCAAUCAUCAAAUCCAUUGUCGUCUAGUCCGGUUAGGAUACCUGGCUUUCACCCAGGCGACCCGGGUUCAAAUCCCGGCAAUGGAAUUUUUUCUUGCUUUUGUUGGUUCCCUUUCUACAUAAGUCUUUUUGUUGCAUGUAUUCGCCUCUUCAAUAAACCCCAGUAUAGGGUUUAAACAGAAAAAGGAGAUGAGUGGAGCAGGAGCACCAGAUUUCUUCUACAGGGAAGCUCAACGUCUUGGUUAUGUAGCUCGUUCUGCAUUCAAGGUAAAUUCCUACCUAUCCAAGUUUCAAUCUUUAUUGUUUCUUGCGCUUAAUUUUUAAUUCUGAUUCAUCCUUGUAUCACUUCUUGCGUUUUUUUUUUCUUGUCAAGAAUAGCUUCUUCAGAUACAAAAGCAACACAAGUUGAUAACUCCUGGCUCCUCUGUUCUUGAUCUUGGUUGUGCUCCUGGUGCUUGGCUUCAGGUCUUGUACUUCUGUAAAGACACUCUUUUUAUUUCAUUAGUUUGCUUUUUUCGUUUUUGGGUUUUUAAUUAUCUUUGGUUUUGUUGAUUUUUGCACUUUUCAGGUUGCUUGCCAGAGCUUGGGACCACUGAAGAAUGGUGGGUCUGUUGUGGGUAUUGAUCUUAAGGUGUGUUUGUUACUUGGUGAUUUUUGAUUCGGCAUUCAAACUUAUAGUGUACAUUUCUCAAGUUAAGAGGUUAAACCGGGACGUCUGUUUAGGACUGCUUUAUAAGGUCGUGAAUCAUAUUACGUUAGAGUUGAUUGAUACGUAAGAAUGUGGGAUAUGCAGAACAGAAGGUGAAGGUUCCUAAUCCAUACUGUGAUGCAAGGGUUAAAACUGUUUGUGCUGAUGUCAUGAAUCUUCCCAGAGACCAAGUUAGAGCACUCUCUCUUCAGGUACAUUUCAAUCGACUAACUGCUCUGUUUUUACAAUCAUUUAAGUACAGGCAGUGAGUUUCACUGUCAGGUUUUUGCAUAUUAUCGUUUUGAGAUUGAUGAUUUGAAAAAGUGUCCGAAAGAGGCAAUGUGAGUUAGACUUUCAUUAAACUGCAGUAAGCCCUUUUUGUAGUUCUUAUGCUACUUAUAUGAUCCAGAAGGUCAAGAGGGAAUGAAAGUUAAGCUUUUAUUAAGCUGCAGUGAACGCUUUUUAAAUGAUCCAUAAGGUCCUAGAUUUAAGUACUUUUGUUUAGUGCAAUUAUUUAAGCAGAAUAGUUUAGUCUCACCUGUUUGUAAAACAUCUUGUUCUUGCUAAAUUCUAUAUGCCCCUAUGAGUGAUUCAAUUCUAAAUGUUAGUUCUCAGCAAUACUUGUGUUGUAUAUGUCCUUAUGCAUGCCUAUGGGAGUCAAACUGUUACAUAUCAUUAGAAAAAUUCAGCACUUUCAUAGACUUAAGUUAGCUGCUUCAUUAUGAAAAUUACUACUUGUUGCGAAUGAUACGAUCUGCUGUCAGAAAAUGUAUGUAGAGGUAGGAAAUUUGCUUUGGCCUCUCCUAACAAUUAGAAGACAAUAUAUAGGAAACAUAAUUGCACUUGAGCAUUGUUGCUAUUUGUCUGUAUUCACAGUAACUUUAUCGUGUGUUGGCUUCUAACAUUGUUGCCUCAGUAUGUUCAUCCUGUAAUGUGAAGGGCAUCAUCUUAUGAAAUAAUGCUAUCACUCCUUUCCUUUUAUGUUGUUCCUGCUGUCCAACUUUUUCUCUGUUUCAUGUAGGGGUUACCAAUUUUGUUUUGGUUUGUAAAUUUUGCAGCAGAAAGGGUUUUCUGUGGUACUCUCUGAUAUGUGUCCCCCUGUUUCUGGAAUCACAACUAAAGAUGCAGCUUUGUCUAUGGAGUUAGGGAUGCAAGCACUUGAUAUUGCAAUUGGUGGAGCAGCAUCAGCUCAUCCUGAUGAUGAGAACCAAAAUGAUGACUCUACUUCUGGUGAAAAUGAUAAUGGUGUCUUGCAAGCUGGGGGCCACCUAGUAAUUAAGCUUUUAGAGAGCGAGGAUAUCCAAGGUGGAACUAUAUUUUGAUGAAGUUGAUAAGCGAUCUAUUUGAUAAUGUGGCUUUAAUAAUAAUGCAUUUCUCUUCAUUUUGGUGCGUGCUUUGCAGAGUUUACCAGGAUUUGCAAGCCACUUUUCAGGAAGGCAUCAUGGUUGAGGCCUAAGGCUACAAGAUCCUCAUCAAGAGAGAUUUAUUUGAUUUGCCAAGGGCUGAAAUAGACGGGUUUUUAAAAUUUUGUUGAGGGGCUUGUUUGACAACAAAUUUAACAGUAACAACAAGUUUCUCAUUGCACAUUCUUGCCCUUUGUGCACAAAAUAUCACAAUGCUAAAAAUUUGCAGCUUUUGUUUUGUUUAGUCUAAGAAAAAUGAUUGUAAUCCAAAAGGGUGGAAGAGAACAAUAUUCUUAGAACAAAAUUCCUUUUCCUUUAUUGAGUCCUUUUGGCUCUCAAGUAUCUUAAAUCUGUAUAAUACACACAGAAAAGAAUUAAAAUAUAUGUAAACGUGAAAGGAAAAAAGAAAUACUUUACAAAUCUGCCCUAGAAAGCAUAAACUUACAAAAUUGGCACACAGGGAAAAGAACACACACACACACACACACACACACACAAUUCCCACCCAUAGUGAAAGCUUACUGGCAACAUCUGAAAAUUUAGUAUUUACAUUUACAGUAUAUGUUUAAGCUGGUUUUUGCACAAGGUUCUUCACCGAAUAUGGGUUCGUCCCAGUGACCAUAGACCUGUAUCUUUGACUGGUGCCUGGAAAUGGGAAAAAGAAAAAAGAAAAAAAAAUGAGCAGCCAAGAAACAGAACAGCAGAUAGUUAAGAGGGUGAAUCAAUCUGCUUCCAUGCUUACCGGUGCUUUCAUAGAUGGGAAGACAUUCCAAAACCGUAGGGUUUCAUCCCCUGCUCCAGUUACUAUUGUCUGCAUUCAAAGUAUUGAACUUAUUCAUUCAUGAAUAAAACAACUUAUAUAAUGCUGUGAAAGAAUCAUUCCAGUACCUGACCAUCUGGAGACAUGGCAAGAUAGAGCACUCGCAAACUAUGACCGGUUAGAGUUGCAACCUAUUACAAUCCAGAAUCAUUCCAGUAAAUGUGACGAAGAACUUGGACUAAGAGACUAAACAAAAGCAUGUAUAAUAGCUUCAAUUAAUACCUUCGCCAACGACGGAUAUUUCCACACCAUAAUUUGAUUCUGGGAGUAACCAUGGGUGCUGACCAAUUCAUUCACAUUCUUACUCCAGGCCAGAUUGCAUACCUGUGGAAUUCGGUGGUAAGUGAUGUUUGUAUUUCUAUGAGAAAAUAACUUGUUUCAGUGAAGUUCUAUUCAGUAUAAGAGAAUAAGCAGGAACCUGGCUCCCAGUAUCGACAUGGUUUAGUUGAUGACCGUUGGUGGUGUUCCAAAAACGAAUGCAUCGAUCAGCUGUUCCACCUCCAGAUGCAAGAAGGCUACUCUGGUGGGGUGACCAAGCAAUGGCCUUCACAGCAGCUGUAUGCUCGGUCAGUUUCAGAACUGGUUGCUGAGAAUGCUGGUUCCAGACCAGUAGCUGAACAGCAACAACAGCCAAUUAUAUCACUACUUGCAUUAUAAUUUACUCGAACACCCAAGGGUUCAUAAUAAAUAUUUACCAUUAAACAGUUGCACAAAGCAAAAGCUAUUGAUAUGAAUGACAAAAAUGUAAUAGUUACCUGAUUAUCAUUUCCACCAGAUGCAAGUUCUCUGUCAUCAUGAGACCAUUUUAAGCCACAUACCUGUCAAAUUGAACGGAAUGGAAAGAUUACUUUCAUUUUCCUCUGAAGUAGACUUGAGCAUUUGAAAUGCAAGUCAAGGGUUUUGCUCAAACCGAGUUUAUUCUAUCCAAAAUUUCCAAAUAAGGCUAUUCUAUCCAAAAUUUCCAAAUAAGGCUUAUACCUCGGAUUUGUGACCAACAAGUUUGCUAACAAAGUCGCUUGAAACGCGAAGAUCAUGCUGAAGUAUGUUCCUAUCCCUGCUUCCUGAUGAUAAUAUGCGAGAAUUCCAUGCCAAGACUCCAGUUCUUGUUUGAUGUCCACCCAUUGUUCGCACCCUCUUACACUGAGUUCCGUCCCAAACCUGUAACAGCAAUCAACAUCCUUAAUAAUAUCUACUUGUGCAGACAUGAAAAUAUGAAGCGGAGCUGAACUUUACAGUUUAGAGCUACCUGAACUUGACCAAGACCUGUGCCGAUAGAUAUGUAUGAACCUUCUCUGGUCCAUUGUACAGAGCACACACUGUCAUGAGGUCCCAAAUCACACAAUUUUGUAACCUGAGAACAAUCAUACACCAUUUUAGCCCUCUUUCCAAUUGCAAGUUAGCAACUAGAGAGACAUACAUUAAUUUGGAUUGGGGACAAAUUCAAUAAAGGUUUUAUUCUAUCCUCUAAGAACCUAAUGAUAACAACUUACUUUGCUAUUUGAAGCAGUCCAUAAAUAAACACAAGUGCCUAACCCAACAGCAAGAACAUUCUGAGAGGACCAAUCCACAAGAUUUAAGUAGAAAUCGUCUUGAAGCGAUGGGGCAUCUAAAACCUGCACAUUUAUAAUAACAAUAAGUAUUUGAAAGUUAACCUAGCUAACCAUGUACUAUAUCUUUUGGAUUUUAAAUUGGUCCCACAUAAAACUGCUUGUUUACCUUAUGAGGUGUCUUGGGUACUUUUCUUGGAGGCUUAGGAGGAGUGGAAACCUCACUAGAAAUGCCACUGUCUUGCCCCAAGAUAGAAGGAGAGUAAGGAGAAUUAGGCCCAGAGAGAUCAGUUCUAAACCUCAACAUAUUCUUGCUAGGACUACUCAGAGCAGACCCACCUUGACCGCCGCCACCACCUGCAGGAGAACAAGAAAGAAAAUCAGACCCAAAAAGCUCAGAUUUUAACAAUCUGGAAUAAGCCUCGUUGCCUCCUUCUUUAACAGGAGAACCCUUUUUCUCCAGGAGUCCAAAAGUAUGCAAUCUUGAAGAAGAUCUGCAUGGUAUAAAUCUAUCACUACAAGUAGAAGAUUUUGAUGACGGUGAUGAUAAGCUUGAUAUCGCUCUUGGUGAUGAUGAUACACUUGCUCGAAAGCCACCAGAAUUAGCUGGAAAUGUAUCUAGUCGCAGAGAAGUUUGGUUCAUUCCAGAUGGGAGAUUUAACCCACUCUUUCUUCUUGGUGGAGACGAAGAAUCCAUUUUUCUGGUAUAAAGAUUAAAAUUUUAGCGCUUGGGAUUAAUGGGUUUUCUUUGGUCUUGUAUAAAGAUUAAAGUUUUAGCUAUGGUUGGAUAUGGAGAUCUUUGAAAAGGCCUCUCCUUUCUCUGUAAAAGCCAAGAGAGAGGGAGAGGGCUUUUCAAUUAUUUUUGUGUAGAAGAAGGUUUGCAACGGUCGAAUUUUGAGGAGCGGGAAAGUGAGUAAGUGAGUGUGUGUAAUGGGUUGGAAAAGAGAAGAAAUUUGGGCUGGUUUUGAAGUUUGGUAUAUAUAAUAAGUUGUCUGUUCUUUGGGCACCAUUUCUAACGGUCACUUCCAUACAUAGAAGUAAAGCUGAGUGUAGUACCUCUACAUCUUUGAACUUGGUUACCAAAGUAGCCGUUGUUUGUUGGUUUGAUAAAAAAUUUCCUAGGAAAUUACAGCCUCUGGCUUUUCUCUUAAAACUAUAUAACAAAAAUAAUUAAGAAAAGAAAAUCUAUGUCUAUGUCCGUCUGAAAUAGAGUGGUUUCCUCUUCCAAACCAUAGGACAUGCAUUUGUUAAUCUGUGUCUAAGAAGUUGAGUUUGAAAUGGAGCACACUGGUUGGGUACUCUACAGCAAAAAUAAGAUUAUCAAGUCCUAAGAUCCAAUCUCAGAGUUCAGUUUCCUUUUAGCAUCAGAAAAGAGAGAUCGUUACUUAGUGAGAUUUGAGAAACAGCUAUUUCAAUGUACUGUAUAUAGAAUCAUCUUCCCAUGUGAGGUUUUUAUCUUAAAAAUGGCUACAAGAGUAUACAGUUAGAUACAGCCAUGAUAAAAUCCUUGACUUGAUCUUAGCCCUCGUACAAUCCAGCCACUAACAACAAGCAAAAUUAUGGAUGACAAACAAUAGCCUAGAACAUCAAAAACUUCUUUUUCUUCUACCCAAGCUGGCGCAACCGUUACAUGAGCAAUGAUUCAUAUCAAAUAGUACCUGGAUAAUUACAUUGAAGCUUAAAUUUGCUCCCAUGGUAAUUUGUGUCUGAUAUAAUGAUGAUUAUACCUGUAUGUAUUAGCGUUCGAAAUUGCAGAAAUGGCAAAUUAAAGUCCAGUCCAACCAUUUGUUCAGAUUGGGAACUAACUACUGCUAUCUCAACAAAGAGAAUCCUCAAAAUGGAGUGAUGAUAAAAGUCAUUGCGUGUAGCAAAAUUGAUAUCUUCGAAGCCAAUCUUCACCCUUCUCAUAGUAAUCCAUCCUGCUAAAUGUCUGCUGAGGGAACUGCAAUGCAGCAGCAUAGGUAGCAGCACCACGCCAUGCAUCAAGAACUGGAUCCAAUGCUCUAACCACCUUUAUAGGUGACCCAUUUGGACGAAUCAUUCGGAUUCCAGACUCCAAGCGCUCAGACAUACCAGGGUAGAGGCAGCUCCCACCAGUAAUAAAGAUUGAAUUCGUCAAUCUCUUCUCCAAAUCUUCUUCCUUGGAUGGCAACCGCCUUAUUGAGACACCAGCCAUUUCAUCUAGCCCUGCCUGAUCAAUCCCAACUAGGUUGGGAUGAAAAAGGAUUUCAGGGCAUCUGAACCUUUCUACACCAAGCAAAACUUGGAAAUCCUCCUUGGUCAAUGGACGGGGUUUUGGCAUCUCAUUAGCAGGUUGGGAUGGUCCUACAUCUGGCUUAGGAAUAAAUGUUGGGUCUAUUUCCUGUAAUAGCAAGAUCAAUACCCAUUGUCCAAGUUGAAUGAGCAGGGUGCAAGAAGAGAACUCAAAACUAAUAGAGCACUGAACCAAUAAGAGAAAUUAAAAGAACUGACCUGAAGCCUAGAAGAAAUGCGAGCAAGCUCCACUUCAUCCUCAUCUGGCCCCUCACCAUCAUCAUCAUUAUCUUUGCUCAUUAGUUUGUAAAGUUGCCAAUCUUCAUCUUUGGCACCAAAAGUAUCCUCUCCCUUCCCUCGAUCAAAUGCUGCUGUUGUUAAGAGGCGCAUCCUUUCCCUUUGGGCAGCAUUCAAUCUCUCACCACGUCCAACACCACCAGACACGUUAUUUCCAUUUGAGUGGUUCCCAUUUGUUUUGAGUCGUUUUCUCUGCUCAACUUUCUCAGAAAGUUCCUUAUAUUUAGCACGCGUCUCCUCUAAAUAAAGUUCUGGAUUCUCUCUACGUAAGAUUCAACAAAAUAGAAAUAUCAAAACAGAGAAGUUAGCAAUUCUUUGCUUUCACUAGUAUCUUUUGAUCAUAAAGGAUCUCAAAGUUCAUGAACAAAGACAGCAUUAUUACGGAGAGAUAAAUGAUCACAAACAAGCUCAAUAAUAACUCCUUUAUAUUCAUUAUGAAAUUAAUGACCAAGUUACAGAAUGACAGGCCCACUUAAUAACGAAUCAAACAUGAAAUUUAGAUGAUAAGAUAAAGUAGAUUACGUUUAUAAACAAAUUUGCUAAUGGCUCAUGGCUCAUUUAUAUACAAGAUUCAAUAAUAAAUCUGCUGAAGAUGACUAGUAACCAUGUAUGAGAAAAAAAAAAAAAAACAGAACCUAAACGUAUCAUGCUGUGAGAUAUUUGCACAAUACACCAUUUAUUGAAGGGUAACUAAAUUAGAAGAUAUUGAUGUUGAAAUAGGUGCAGAUAAACACAACAAAAGAAAAUGUCAAAGGGCAAAACAAAGGGACUCAGAAGUCCCCUUAAUUAACAACACCAAUGAAGCACCUGCCCAUCAGCUUCUUCCAUAAAUGGGUGAGGCUCUUCAUCUAUUUUAUGUGUUGAAGGAUGAGUCUUUCAUGGCGAGCCCCUUAUAAAAUGGGCUCCCAAACUUAUGUGGUUAGUGCCUUAAAACAGUUAAUUAAAUUAGUUAAGAUUUGGAUAUAACUCAGCUGAUGGCUUUAUUCAAGCAGAGUAAAAAACUAAGCUCAAAUGGCUGAGGUAACAUAAAGACAGCCAAGCCACAUUCGAGUUUGGCUCUCAAGAAUUUGGUCAAGCUCAAGCUAACUUCAAACUUUGUUUCAAAAGCUACUAAUAAGAACCCAGACAGCCAAAUACUUGGUUUUAACCAGCUUGCUUACACCCCUAAGAGUAAACUCUCAUGUAUAUAUUCUCUCCUUAACAGAUGAAAGAUAAUAAGAGAAGAAUUCAUGAAUUUGAACCUACAAGCGCUUUUCUUCGUCCAGUUGAUUCUUUCUUUCUCGUUCUAAUUCUUCUUCACGACGUUUCUGCUUAGCUUGCUGCCGGCCAAGAGCUGUGGUUCUAAGAAACAACUGCUUCUUCUUUUCCUUCAGCUGUGAAGAAACAUCAUGAAAAGCUAUGAUAAGUGCACAAUGAGAAUAUGAAUGAGGUUGUGCAUUUGAAAAAUGACAUUGCUUAAGUGAUACUAUGAGAGUUUUUGCCUGGAUUCUGAAAACAGAAUGAACAGCAACUAGAUAAUAGUAAGGCACUAAUUCAGAAAUUUUUUACAGGAGCAUGCCUGCUCUGAGGUCAACUCAUCAUCAGGAAUUUCAAGAAGGGGAUAUCUUUCAUUUGUGGACGAAUCGCUUUUCUCUUCAAGUUCAGCUUGUUCAGCCUUUGGCUCUCCUUUUGCUUUACGCAAAGACUGUGUUUUUUGCACGAUUAAGGAUUCUAUUUCCUGCUUGGACACAUAGCCAGUAUCUCUAAGAAAAGAUGGAAUUUCAUCCUCUUCCACCUGUUCAAGCUGCUGGAGAAGAAACUUCAAAUCACGCAACUGAUUUUCUAGAUCAUUUAUCCUAGUUGACUUCUUUAGCACAGCCAUCUCUCGCAACCGUUGACCUUGUCUCUCCUUUGCAGCUGCCUUUCUGGCAAGCUCUUCUUCUGAUGGAGGUUCCUCCACUGGUGGGGGAACCCAUGGGAGCUGCCAACACUUGGUUUUAUCUUCAGCUUCCUUGGUCCCUUUCUGUCGGAUAAUUGCAACUGUUAGCACAUAGGGAUUUUUAAAAAAAUUAAAAAAUAAGAUUAAAUAAAUAAAUAAUUGCAGAAAAAGGCAAGCUAGUUACCUGAAAUAAUCGAGCUUCUGAAGCAUAAUCCGGUGCAAUAUAACAAUGCUCCAUCUUCAGGUCUUCGACCUUUUCCCAUGUAAAUCUAGCCCUGAUUGAGCAUAAAAAGACAAAAUUAGAAAAAGUUAUACGAAAUAUACCUAUUAGAUUGAAACAGAGCCAGCUGAAAAUAUACUCACAUGUGAUGAGGAUAUUUAAGUGAAAGAAGUUGCUUCAGAUAAUCAGUGACAUGAAAUCCACCGAUGUUAGUACGGCAGCAUCCUUUAUAAACUGGCUCUCCAUCAAUAAACUGGGUACCGAAGACAUAAGUUGAAGUUAAACAAACAAAAUGUAACAUGCUGAUCUUGGCUCAUUUAUCCCAUUCAUCACUUCUAUCAGUACUAGAAACAUAGAGAUUGGAUUCCACAUGGGACUAGCAUACUGAAUCUAUUUUGUGAUUCGAACUGGCAUUAGUAUGAAUAAACUGAAAAGUGUUUCAGCAAACAUCUCCAAGAACUGAUACUUCUGGGGUAAAGAAAAACCAUACCACAAUUAGUUCAGCAGCGAAAGUAACGUCCACCAAGCAAAAUAUUUGCAGCAUGCAGUAAAGCAAUAGCACAACCACUGCAGAUGAAAACAGUAAAAGAGAUGCCCCCAAAACUUAGGGAUUUAGUGCUUUGGCCCAAGUACUCAGCUAGGCAAUGCCCAGCCAAAUUACCCCGCCUAAAAAGCACCUCAGUGAGUACCCAGCUUGCACUAGACGACAGUGUAUUAAGGCUUUUCCUUUCUCCUACUUAACAAGUUCAUAUAGUUUUUAUGCAAUCGGAUCUAAGAAGCAUUCCAAAUUCUCAAGCCAAAUGCAACCUUACAAAAUUAUAGGUAUAAGCUUGCUGUAGUUUAUCAGCACUUGUAAUCAUGCAAAACCACCGAAUGUACCAACAAACACAAAGAAAUAAUGAUCACCAGAAUAUGGAAAUAAAAGUUCUACAUUUACCCAAGUAGAUCAAAGGUUAUACAGCCUACCGGAAUUACAUGGGUGGUUGUAAAUCCUGGGCAAAUAGCAAGCCCAUCUUUAUCACAAAUCCCACGCUGUUGAUUGUACUUAUAGCUGAAAGCAGCAUCAACACCAAAUGCUGCAAAGACAACAUAAGUUACACCUUAACUAGCCGAGCCACUCACAUAAAACAGAAACAAAAAACUUGCCCCCUAAGGUCACAAAAGAUUCUUAAAAGUUUCCAGGAGUUUGUACCUACUGAUGGAACUCCAUAAGUUUCAAAAAGGAGCUCUGCCAUUUUACUGCGUGACUGAACUGGGUUGCAUACACAUUCUGUGAUCAGAACAGGAUGCUCAAUCUGUUCUGCCAUCAAAUGAACAAAAACAUCAAGACACAGUCUUGUGAAUCUAUUGACUAACCUCAAAACCCUAAGCGGACAAUACUAGAUCAUAAACUGAAAGUAUGCAGCUUAUGCAGUAGAACUAUGAAGAACUGUAUAAUAUUUUCCCAUGCACUUAUCACCAGUAACAGCAAGCAUAUAUUUUCAAAGAGGUCACCUCGGUCAUGCCUAGGCCAAAAUCAAGUUAUAUCUUACCAAAAUGAUAUCAAUUGCCAAAAUUACUGUUGGUAAUAUUCCAUGUCCAACUAAUUUAGAUUUAACCUCAAAAAAUGGCUGACAAGUGGACAACCGUUCCAAUAAAUCGUCCAAAUGAUUUGACAUUCAACUAUAUCUAAUCCUCCUUGCCAAUAAAGAUAAAAUAUGCAAGCCAUGAAUUUUACAAGAAUUGCCACAGAAGUGGAAUGGAGGGUAUAGCUCGCCUUUCUCAACCUAGAUUGAAGAACUCCAACGUACUACCAUUCUACAUCAAUUAAAGUAUCACCAGCCUUAAGUCACAGAAAGCUUUAGCUUAAGGAAUGUUAUUGAACGUGCUAAACUGGUCAUAAACAUAAGUCUUCCCUAGUGGAAGCCCAAACAUAUUCAUAUCUCUAUUUAAGUAAUAUUCUCAUUGUACCUGUGAUCCAUUUGCUCCAAGCCGAUCAAAUCCAAAAUCAAGAAUCUACAAAAUGAAAUAACCAAUUAAUCAAACCAGUAUUUCCACAUAACAAGAUUAACAUGUCAGUGACCCAAUGUCCCACAAGUCCUUAACCAACUUUCCCAAACUUGCCAUAGCAUUAAGAAAUGAAUAGAUUAAGAAAUAAAAGAAAUUGGCAACACACUAUAUAUUAAAUGUCCUAAACUAGAUAUUACACAAUUUACAUAACCUAAUAUAAAUAAAUAAAUAAAUAAAACUUACAUAUUCCAUAAUCUCAAAUUGAUAAACAACAUUACUAUCAAACGCCGAGCGAGGUCCAGAGCGAGUACAGUCAAAGUAUCUCAAAAUNNNNNNNNNNNNNNNNNNNNNNNNNNNNNNNNNNNNNNNNNNNNNNNNNNNNNNNNNNNNNNNNNNNNNNNNNNNNNNNNNNNNNNNNNNNNNNNNNNNNNNNNNNNNNNNNNNNNNNNNNNNNNNNNNNNNNNNNNNNNNNNNNNNNNNNNNNNNNNNNNNNNNNNNNNNNNNNNNNNNNNNNNNNNNNNNNNNNNNNNNNNNNNNNNNNNNNNNNNNNNNNNNNNNNNNNNNNNNNNNNNNNNNNNNNNNNNNNNNNNNNNNNNNNNNNNNNNNNNNNNNNNNNNNNNNNNNNNNNNNNNNNNNNNNNNNNNNNNNNNNNNNNNNNNNNNNNNNNNNNNNNNNNNNNNNNNNNNNNNNNNNNNNNNNNNNNNNNNNNNNNNNNNNNNNNNNNNNNNNNNNNNNNNNNNNNNNNNNNNNNNNNNNNNNNNNNNNNNNNNNNNNNNNNNNNNNNNNNNNNNNNNNNNNNNNNNNNNNNNNNNNNNNNNNNNNNNNNNNNNNNNNNNNNNNNNNNNNNNNNNNNNNNNNNNNNNNNNNNNNNNNNNNNNNNNNNNNNNNNNNNNNNNNNNNNNNNNNNNNNNNNNNNNNNNNNNNNNNNNNNNNNNNNNNNNNNNNNNNNNNNNNNNNNNNNNNNNNNNNNNNNNNNNNNNNNNNNNNNNNNNNNNNNNNNNNNNNNNNNNNNNNNNNNNNNNNNNNNNNNNNNNNNNNNNNNNNNNNNNNNNNNNNNNNNNNNNNNNNNNNNNNNNNNNNNNNNNNNNNNNNNNNNNNNNNNNNNNNNNNNNNNNNNNNNNNNNNNNNNNNNNNNNNNNNNNNNNNNNNNNNNNNNNNNNNNNNNNNNNNNNNNNNNNNNNNNNNNNNNNNNNNNNNNNNNNNNNNNNNNNNNNNNNNNNNNNNNNNNNNNNNNNNNNNNNNNNNNNNNNNNNNNNNNNNNNNNNNNNNNNNNNNNNNNNNNNNNGUAUUAUUAUUAUUAUUAUUAUUAUUAUUAUUAUUAUAAAUGAAUAACAAGAAAUUUAGAUUUGAGACUUUGCUAAGACCCUCAAGCUAAAUUUUAUGAAUGUCCCAAUAAUGUACAUUCACUUAUUGAUUUUUAGGAGCCACAUUUGUCAUUUACUAAUAACUAAACAAAUAGAAAAUUAGUUUACAGUCUUAGUGAAUAAUUCUUUUUUUUUUUUUUUUAAAUCUUAGCUGAUAAGGAAGAACCAUGAAAAGAGUACAACAUUUUAUGAACAUGAUUUAAAGUUUUCAUAGUAAAUUGUAGAGCUGAAAUGUAUAAUUGCAACCAUGCAAUGUUUAACCAAAUAAAAUUUCAUACAUCUUUUACAUUUUUCUCAGCAAUCUUUACUUUUAUUGACUAUAAAUAGGAACUGGGAAAUUUCUCUCUCUUACAACUGUAUUAUUAUUUUUUUUCUAUUUAAAAAAUUUAUUUUUGCACGUAUAUUUUAUUUAUAUUUCUUUUUAUUUUUCAGAGAUAAAUUAAGUCAUAAAUGAUCUAUUAUUGAAUUAUAAAUAAAUAGUUUCGAACUUAAAGACUUUUAAAUAAUCAUAAAUAAUAAUAUUAAUAGAACACAUUCAGAUUGACUUUUUUAUUUUUUUAUUUUCACUUAAAAUUUUAUGAAAGAGGAGAAAAAGAAAAAUAGGAAGUCUUGGAUUUGCCCAAACUCAUUUUGUUCAGAAAAAUUUAUAAAAUUUAUAUUUUAUUUAUAUUUAAAUUGGAUUUUUGACUUAAUUUUUGUGAGGGUGAGUCCAACACCUUGCAAAGUUCUUUAUAAGCCUAAACAAUAAAAACUUUUUAAAACUAAAGUGAAGGUGAUGUGAAAUAAAAAGCCUUUUGAAAUAUAAAAUAUAUAUCCAACAAUGUGAAGAUUGCGGAGACAAUAAUAUGCAAGUAUAAUAAGUAGGGUUAUUCGGGAGGAAAGAAACCAGUUUGUGCCUAAUGGAAAUUGUCCUCAAUUCAUCCACUGAGUGUAAUUGAGAGAGUAGUAGGCCUCGUAUGUGGGCAGAAGAUGAUGAGGCAAAAAGGUUUGGCAGUAGAGGAAAGCAGCGCAGAGCAAACCAAUACAAGAGGAGUCCCAAUUAGAAGCCUCCUUCAGUAAAUUAGCAGAAGACAGAGAGAGACCCAAAUAGGAAUGGCUUCCAUUUACAAGGAUGAGAGAGAGAGAGAGAGAGAGAGAGAGAGAGAGAGGUUCUAUCUUCUUCCAUUCCUUUGGCAAAACCAAAUAGGAAUUGUCGUGCAGCAUUGGGUUAUCAUUUUCUGAGUAAAGCCAGGUUCAUAAUCAUAGGUGUUAUUCUACAAACAGUCAUUUCAAUGGCAGUUCAAAUUUCAAUAGGAGUGUUUGGACCACAAAGAAGAAGCCCCCAGGGAAAUUGUACAAAUAUUAGAGAAGAUUAAUUCUUUCUUCUUUGUUAUCUUGUAAAUAAUAGCAAUUCUUAUCCAAAGCAAAUUCAAAUACAGUUGCUGAUUAGCUCUCUAAAAAUGUCUACUUAUUAUUAUUAUUAUUUUUUAAUAUUGGAAUGAUGCUUUACUGUCUUCAAAUUUAGCCAACUCACAUGAACUUCAGUAAUUCUCCCAUCACUUUGGAGCUUUUUAUUAACAAAAUCAUGGGAGUGGGUGGGUUAGGACACCACCAAGCCCCCAUUGGCACUUUCCUAUUGGCUUCCAGUUCAACAAGUAGAAGGCUCAGCGGCUGCAUCUUUUAUAGGAGCCGAAGUUAAGUUAUCACUGCUCUCUGUAACAAGAACAAGAACAAGGUGUGUGUAUCUUAAAAUGUCCUGGAAACUUCAGUCAGGGCCUUUCAGAGAAAGCAUCCUUCGUGUUGUUAAGGAAAGGAAAGGAAACUAUGGUGAUUGGCAUGAUACGCAAGACAAAAGUGUCCAUAUUUUCUUUUAUUCUUUUUAUUUUUAAGGUUGUGGGUCCAUGUAACCACGGCCACGAAGUUGCUUCCACCACACAAUCGGAUAAGUCAAACCGCAACAUCUUCCCUCACAAGCUGGCGCCUAUCUCAAUUUAGCCUAAUGACUAAAUUACUAUAAAAAGGCCACUCUGAUAAACCCAAAACCAAAAAAAAAAAGCCAGAACAGCCAUACGCUUUGAUUUUAAAAAAACAUUUUGUUUUUAAAUAGUAAAAAAAAAAAGAGCUUGUUCUGCAAGAAUGGAAGUGGAUCAUGAAGGAUGCAGGACUCCGAUCCGCCGCGAGUGUCGAAUACCGGCGGCACCAGUGGCAUGCCCACCUGCACCGAGGAAGAAACCAGUUCAUAUAAAGCAAAGAGACCCGCCAAAAGAUGGGUACUUUCAACCGCCUGAUCUUGAAGCUUUUUUCUUGAUUACACCAAGAAGGGAAGCUUCUUGUGCUUGAAAGUCUAAAGAUCUGUGAGAUUGGGUGAUCUUGUUACAAGUCUAAUUAUUCGACCCUUUUUUUCUGGUAGUAUUUUGUUGUAGAUAGAGGAGCCUGUGAUAGUAGCUGAGUAGGGCUUUUCAGUUGAGAAAUUUUAUUUGCAAGGUUCAUAUAUAUAUACAUGCAUGCCAUGUGAAGAAAGUCGUCGUUUUUGUAUAAAAGCUUUUACGGAUCAUAAAAGCUUCGUUAUUAGGGGAAAAAAGUAAUUCAAUGAUUAGAAUUUUAUUACACUGUGCCAAAAUUUUAAAUUUAUUUGCCAUUUUGUAUCAUAUGGCAAUGGCAUGUACUUAUUCUGGUUUUAGUUUUAAUGGAAGUGUCGUUUCCCCCCAGGAAAUCAUUGAUUCUACCGAUCAACCAUAUUUUGUUCAUAAAAAUUAUUAUAUUAUAUAGAUUUUCUGUGAUAAGGUACAGGAAAACAGUGGUUUUCAUUUUGGAUUUAUACUAUUGUAUCCAUUCUUUUUUUCACCUCUGCAAAUAUUUGGAGAUGACUUUGUACACUGGAUGAGUCACAACAACUCAAAAAGCUUGGAUACAUCUAACUCUGAUAAUUGUCCCUGGUUUAGUAGUUGUUAUUCUGUUAUGUAGAAAUGCAGGCCCUGAUUAUUGGCAUUGACUAGCUUAAUUGAUAAAAGUACUUGGUAGUUAAACUUUUUUUAACAGAAAAUUUGAUUAGUAUACGUUAAUUGUUAGCGUCAAUAGGGAAUAAAAAUUUAUUAGAUGGAUCAUUUUGGAUUUCGUAUUUUUCUUAUUAAUUUUCAUUCCAUAAAAAAUUAACUCUAUAAAAUAUGUAAGAAAACCUCAAGACAUUUUACCACCAAAAGCAAAAAUCCUUAUCAAUCCAGCUAAAUCUGAAUCCGAAUCCAUCCUUGAGUCAAACCCAAAGCUUGCUUCUGUGGGAAGUGGAAGGUAAAGGGUAGGUAACCAGUUCCUAUAAGCAAGGAAUUAUUUUUCUCACUAAACCCCUUCUCUGCACGUGUGGUUGAUUCAAUAAAGAUUUAAAUAUAGAGGAAAGUGUACCCUACUACGACUUCGAGUGAAAGAGACUAUUAUUAUGCUGUCAAACCAAAACAAAACCAACCACAAUUAAGCUAAUUUUCUUUUUUCAUAACCAUUCACUGUCACCUUCACUAUGAAAAUGGUCUUGAGAGAGAAAUGUUAUGAUGCAACUCAGGGUCCUCACGAAUGGAAUUUGGGAAGAUUUGGGCCAAGCUAUAUGACAAGUCCAACACAAUUUCAUCACUAUUUAAUGGUGGGUUUCUGUAAAUCAAUAGUCCAAAUGGGUUUAAAUUAUUUUCACGGAUAAGUCUUCUUUUUUUCUUACUGUCAUCCAUUUGAAGGCCCAAUAAAUCUAAGCCGCAGAAAUCAUACCUCCUUUUCCAAUCUCAUUUUCACCAUAUAAUUACAUAAAAAGUAAGAAAUCAUUAUAAUAUCAAAUAAAUUAUAUAUUAUGGAAGACCUCAAAGACCAAGUCCAAUAAACUAUCCUCAUAUAACCUACUCCUCCACAUUUUCUAAUUUUGAAUUACACAAUAUGCUACGGUGCUUUUCUUUCUUUUGGUAGUUUAUAUAAAGUUCAAUGGUCAUGGGUUAUAAUAAGUGGUACUUAUUCUUUAUAAAGGCGAGAGUUUAAAUUCAAAAUUAGAAUAAACACUCUUAUUAUUUAUUAUUUGAAGUUAGUCUUAAAGUGUUGAUACAUGAAAUGUCUGACGGAGUCCUUACAUUAUACAAAAGUGUUGGGCUUCAAGCCGGAGACACCAACACCCCACUUUGAUUCCCUUAUCUUUUUCAUUUUGCAGUACUCUUUUGAUCUAUCAAUAUCCAAUGCUAUAAUCGUAUUCCUUCUCAACACUUAAUGCAUAUGUUUUUAUUAUAUUUAAUUGAAAUUUAUAAAAUUUAUGUAUUAUGAAUAAAAUGAGAGUUAAUUUAGAAUUCUAUAUAUUUAAAUUUGUAUAAAAUUUGUUAUACCUAAACUAAUUUCUACCGUAAUAGAUAGAAAUUACAAUUAAUUCCGCAUUAGUUUAUCAAUGUAUUCUAUAACAUCAAAAUAUCCUUUCAACUUUAUCAUUUUUAUUUUAUUUUAUCUUUCCUGUAUUUUUCUCCAAUGAAAUAAAUUCUUAAACGAGUUUCAACUAAACAUUAGCAUUUAUUAUUUUCCUAGCACACACUUGGUGAUGCAAGUAUUGCAAACUCGAAUCCUAAAGUCAUUAAUCUAUUAUUUAUUGUACAUUUUGAAAAGUAAUACUGAUCAUCGGUGGACGAAACGAGAGAAAUCUUAAAAAAAAAUUAAGAAGAUUUAAAAGAUGAGAAAUCUUUAUGGUAUUGUUGAAUCAUUUUACUAAGGAAGGUACAAUUUGUAGUACAAUUAGUGAUCUGAAGCCCUAGAUUCUUUGGUGUCUGAAAGGUGCAUUGGAUGCCAUAUGUUCAGGUGGUUGAUAUGUGUCCUCUGUAAUCUACUCUCUUACAUGCAUUUUGUUGGUAAGUCAAUGCUCUAAACUGUACCAUUUCUUGCAAUUUCUUUUUAAUCAAGGAUAUGGGAUCCUAUGCGUGCAAAACGUGAUGGAUGAACGUCUCAUCAAAACUAUCAAAGAUUAUCUCUUAUAAUUCAGCAAUAAUAUGUUGUCUAGUUUUGCACAUAUAUGAACUCCUUCAUUUUGAAUUUGAAUUCGUGUCAUAGCCAAGCACAAGGAUUUUAACAGUCUUAUACACCUUUUCUGGUCCCAAACUGUUGAUAUUGGGUGCUCGAUAUUUCAUCCCUGAAUCCCUCCCUUAAACUUGUUUAUCCAUUAUUUACAUUUUUUUUUCUAGGGUCAAACAAAACUCUACUUCUUCACUAGUAUGUCAAUGACUAGAAUUGUAUAUGUCUCGACAUAUUUAAGAAAAAUAAAACUGAUACAUAGUCAGAACGUAAGCAUAAUAUAUUUGCUCUCAGUCGGUCCAAAAAGAAAAUUAAACUCUCGGCGAAAAAUAUAAUAUAAAAAUUUAAAACAAACCUUAAAAUAGAAAAGUUUUGGCCUUUUGAAGUCCCUUGUGAGAAAGUUUUUACUUAAGGUAGUAAUGACCUAUUUCUAGAACCGAACACAAACUUUUUAGUUUUUUUAACUGGAUUUUUUAGUUGAAUAAAUUAUAUGUAUGGAAUAAUUAUAAAAUCUAAAUUAUAUUCUAUUGUUCUAUGUAAAAUAUAAUACGUGACAUAUAUUUAACCCUGAAGUAUAAUACACCAAAGCCAUUCCCCAUUUUAAAUCAUCAACCUAACCUACAUGGCUACAUCAAAAUGACAUCUCCAAAUAAUUAGUACUUCAAUUUUUACGGUGGUAAAUACUGAAUGGAUUUGUGUUGUUGUGGGAACAAAUUGCAAAAUUCGUAGGGUUCAUCAGGCCACCCUCAAUCAAUUAUACUGUUGAUCUCUUCUAAGCAGUGUUUGUAUUAAAUCGAGGCAUGGCCUACAGGUCAAAGAAGAGAAGCCAACCUUAAAUAUAUGGAAAAUUUGUGUUCGAAAAAAGGAAGAGUGAGAGAGAGAGAGCGAUCAGGUGAUAAGCUUAUAAGACAUUUUCUUGGAUAGAUUAAUUGCAAUGGCGUCAUGUGAUGUGAUCACAUCAGAUAGAUUGAACAAAAUGGUCACAGAUCAAAAAAAAGAAACCCUAGUUGCAUGCGUUGCAUGGCAUCAUCGCCAUCUCCAUCAAAUCCUUUAUUCAUUAUUACAUCAAAGUCCAAACUCACCCAUUUACUCUGCGUUUAAUUACUUGCACAAUUCUCUCUCUCUCUCUAGACACUGAUUUAGUUUUUAUUAUUAUUAUUUAUUUUUACCAUAAAUACUCACAUAAUAAUUAUAUAAUAUAUGGGACUGAUUUACUGCUUGAUCUUAAAGAAAAGAGAGACCUUUUAAUGGCAAGUUGAUGGAUAGAGUUGUUUUACCCUAAUGAACAACAACCCCACAGUAGUUGGUGUCUUAAGUCACUCAGAUAUUUAUAUAUAUUCCUGCAAGUAAAAGCCAGUCUUUCUCAUUUAUCGAUGGUUCAAGUAUAUAUAUAUAUAUAUAUAUAUUCAGAUGUGAUUUUCAUAGGCAUAUGAUCUAGUACGCGAUUACCUAAAAAUUCUUCAUGAUUUGCAGUCACAAAAUCACCUGAUUCUUCAGAUUUAUUGGAUUGUAUUUUUAGCCUGUCCGAUGUCUCAUCUAAUGCUUUUCUUAACAUGCAAAUUGGGUUCUAAUUGUACUUUGCCUUGUCAUAGUAGAGAUUUAAACUCCUGAGAGUUCAAAAUUUACUAUUAAUUAGGGAUUAAUUUGUGUACUUUGUUGAAUGUAUAUAUCAUGUAUCUUUUAUCAUUUGAUCAAUUGAAGACUUCUCUUGUUUUCUUUUUACAUGAGAAACACUUCUCCCGUUACAAGCUUGUAGUACUUAUCCUCUUUUUAAUUGGUUAAAAGUAACACAUAAAUAAAAUAAGGGGAAAGUAGAACUGUUUGACGAAAAGAAUUCUAUGGAUUCUUUUUAUAAUAUUUUAGUAUUUCUAAAGUUAAAUCAUUAAUAAUUUAUAUUUAAAAUUAUUAAUAUCAUUAAUUUAAUAGUUAUAGUUUAUUUGUUUGGAUAUUAAUUGUUUGUGAUUCUAUUUUCUGAAACAUUUAGUUUAGAGAAAAAAAUAAAAAGAGAAAAUAUAAUUAUAUAAUUUGAUUUUUUAAAAAUCUUAUUCAACUAGGACAAUUUUGGAUGAUGUAAAUCUACUCUUUUACCAUCUAAACGAUAAAAUCAGUUUUGCAAUGUUUAGAAAUUAUUUAAAAUUUAAUUUCUAAAAUUAUCAACAGUGUAAUGAAUUUGAACACAAAUCACUAAUUUUGUUAUUUCUAAGUGUUACAAUAUUAUUAUAAAAAUUAUAAGACCUCUUAUAUCAAAACGUUAAACUAUAAGAUUAAAUUUUGUACUUUUUCAGAUGAAUUUUACAACAUAAAUUAAAGUGCAGGAGCUAUUUAACAGAGUAUUAAAAAAAACCAACCAACUCAAAAGAUUUAAAUUGUUAAUGUAUGUUUUUCCUUUCUCAUGUUAUUUCUUGGAAUUCAGUUUAAUGAAAUUUCUUCUUGUUUUCAAAAAAAGAAAAAAUAGCCUUGGGCUGAAAGAAAAAACAUACAAAUAUGUGAGGAUAAAAUUAAUAAUCAGCAUGAGAUUAAAUCGACUAACUAUGUAUAUACAAAAGCUAUCACAUAUGAAUUUAGACUUGGUGCAGGGACAAUAUGAUAAUAAAGAAAAGGAACUAAAAGAAGAAGAAACAGUGAGGAAAAGGGAAGAGAUAGCGUGUGUGUAUAGAAAGAAAGAAAAAGGGGGAACUGAAAGAAGGCUAAACGAAGAGUAGACUGUGAAGAAAUGGGUUUCCAUUUGGAGUAAGCUAUGUGCUCUAAUAUUGCUGUAUAAUACGACACAGAGAUCUGCUGGGUGGAGUGAGCUCUCAGCGAGAUUUCUGGGCUAGCUUUGCUUUUAGCUGCAUAUAUUUUUGAGUUUGACAUAUCAUUUCAAUGCAUCAGCUUCUUGCAUAUGUUUAGGCUAUUUACGAAACUUUUAGUGUAUAGAAUAGGUCUGUCCUUUAUUUAUCUAUUCAACAGGAAAAGAAUACACAAAUUAAAAUCAUAUCAUUUACAUAUAUGUACAAACUAUAUUAUUAUUCAUGUGUAAUAUGGUUGGAUCACAUUAAUUGAGUUUUUUUCUUUUAUAAAUUUACUAUAUACAUAAUAUCAAGAUUCUGCAAAUAUUGAAACCCAAUUUAAAAUAAUUAAACACAAGAUAUUUUGUUUUUGCCCAGAUGAUUAAACUGAGAAUUAAAAUCCAUGCUAUUUAGAAAUAAGAAAGUAUUUUAAAAAGGUGUAAGGGGAAAGAAAAAAAAAAAAAAAAAGGACACUGCUAUGAAGGGUGUGGCUUUUAGCUGGAAACAGAAACAAAGAUUGGUAGCUGGGAGAGUACUAGAUUAAUGGACUCUUAUGUAAAUACAUGCAGACACAAAAAGAAAAACAAUAAUAAUAAUAAUCACAAGAACAACUUUAUUUUGGGUUUUAAAAAGGAUGACAAGGUUGUAGGCCACCAGAAAAAAGCAGCUAUAUAUAUAGUACUAUAUGUGUAAAAAGAAGAUCUCUAGCAAAUCGAUGAAGAAGCAAUUAAAAUCAAGUAUUAUGUCCUCUAAUAUAUUCUCUCUUAGUUAAGGUUACGUUUUUGCUUUAUCUGGGACUGAACUGACAGGGACCUAUGCAAAUGGACCCUUCUAUUAAAUCUAUCACAAAUGUAUUACAGCAAUUCAAUUCCUUAAUUUCGGAUAAUGGAGACAUGUCUUUAAUCUCAAAUAUUCCUACCUUUGAACUACAAUGGGUUGUUUCUUACAUUAUUGGUGUGACAACUUGACCCCAGACGUAAGUGAAACUUACAAUAAGGGUAAGAUGUCUAAACAGAAGUUUAUUACUAGCAGAUAAAUUUAUAAGGUACGAAGGUGCAAAAAUAAAUUCAAUUACAUGUCAAAAUGGAAGAGAAUGUAAUUAAAUAUUAAACAUAUUGGCUCUGAAAAAAUCUUAAAAUGUAACUAUUCGAAAAGUUUUUUUAAAUUUUAUGAGACUCGAAAUAUUGAAAUGAAUAUUUUCUUUUCAUGUAAUUUGGAUUACAUCAUUAUAAUUAAAAAAGUUCUUUAAUUGUUUUAUGUGAUAUAGGUUCAUAUAGUUGUUUUUACUGGAUUUAAAAGGUAAGUUUAUGAUUUCUAAAAAUUGACCUGCCAGCUGCAAUUAAAAAAAUCCGAGCAUGAGACUAUGAAUAUCAAGUUCCAUAUAUUUCAGUAGUGUUUUCCAAUUAUAAUUGUAUGUUGUGUAUAUUUAUUUUUUGUUUGAUUGGAGAAUAUAAAUAUUGGUACCAAAUUCUUGUUGGUAUGUCAUUUUAUCGACCCAUGUGUGGGUCUCUUUGAGCAUGAGGUUUUAUAUCAAGUCAGAUUGGCAGCUCUUUUAUGGCUUUCCCAAUUGUUUCGCCAGUUAGUUGGCUAGUCAUAAAUUGUACCUUCCUUAAUUAGGAAAUCUAUAUACGAGUGAUUUGUGAACCUUUAACUAUCAUCUUAGACCAAUAUGCAUUAUGAGGGACUUCUGUUGUAUAAUUUACUAUUUAUUGAACUUUUAAUGAAUAAAAUAAAACUAUUAAUCAUUGAAGUGAACUUAGAUUCAUUUGUGUAAAAAAAUAAGUUCAUACUAUAUUGAUGCAAGAAAAGAAUUUACAGAAUAAUUGAAUCUUCUUUUAUUCAACUAAAUAAUUUAACUUAAUUCACAAAUAGAUAUGGAAUUUCUUUUAUGUGUAUGUUCCAUUUUAAAUAAGUAAAGGAAUUCUGUUAUGAGAAUCCAUCCAAUUCAAAAGUUCAUCUUAUCUUACAGCAAUGGAAAACAAUGGGGUGCAACUUUCUCUCAUUAAUCAAUAAAAUUAACUUGAUGUAAUCAAUUUAAUUAAUAGGGCCACUUGGGGGUUUUAUUUUGGAGAGGUCCAUCACAAUAGCUAUUUGUUAAAAGCAUUGUCUAAAUUAAUUCUAAGUCUUAGAUAAUUAUUAGUUGUCAAGUUUAUUCUGAGAGGAAUAGAGUACUUACAUUACCUCCAUUUUCUCCUUUUCGCUUUCUAUUUUUCUGUCUUUCCCAAGCAAAGAAAAAUCUGAAAUAUCCCUUAAUUUUCCUCCCUAUUCUGGCUUCCUCCCUUUUCCCUCCCUCUCUCAUACAAAGAAUUCAUGAAAAAUACCAUGAUUCUCCCAAUGCAUAAAAGAUAAAGCUCAUAAAUUACAUACAAUUUACAUUAACAUCUCUAAAUUCAAAUUCCAAAUCACCUCCAAUUAUGAUCUUCUAGAGAUGUUACAAAAGAUUUAAUCCCUCUUUUUACUUCUGUUCUCAAGCUCUGAGCAAAUUUCCAGUGGUCCAGUAAGAACACUUGAGUUAUGUAAACUUUAAAAAUUCUAAAUCAAUAAAUUGCAAUCGGCUGCAUUAAUUUUAAAAUUCUUUAAAAAUGUUUAUCUUACUAUAGAAUAAUAUCAUAUAAUAAAAAUUUAAUAUAAUUAUUUAAGAAUUGGUGUUCGCGUGCAAAAAAAUUAUUAUUUAAGAGAUUCGAGUUCGGAUAGUUAAGUCUUUUAGUAAUGGAAAUCAAAACCAUUACCAAUGAGAUUGAAUACUAAUGCAAAACACUGUUACCAAAAAUGCUUUUUUUUUUUCUUCUUUUUCUUUAGCAUUAUGUUUCUGCAAGAAGUGUGUCCGUACGAGGAGGAUGUUUGUAGUGUGUGGGAGAGCUGGCCAAGUAACCUUCCACUUCUCCGUGUCCGACGCCUGUUUCCUUCCUCUCUCUCUCUCUCUCUCAAUGUGUCCGUACACCUGCACCCACAUCAAUGUCACAUCUCUCUAGUUUUAACUUUAAAUUUGUUUUUUCGUUUCCUGCUUCAAUGUGUGGUGUUGGUUUUCUAUUUGGUUCACUGCAGUACCGUGCCUUUGAGGUUUGGAAGGGCUAUAUGGCCGGCCGCCUUCCCAUUUUUUAACUGGUACCGGUACUUAACCAUUUAAGACGAUCUAUGUAAUUUAUUCGAGAAACGUGUCUAACCUAAUAUAAUCCAAUAAUUAAUAUAACCACACAGUAUUCAUCGCAGGUAAACUUAUGUUAUUUACUUGUAUAUGUUUUUUUCUUUCAUGGCUGUGUUGCUUUGACUAAGUUGUAAUGUCUUUUUCCUAUCCUUAAUCGCAGCAGGUGCCUGUGAAAUCAUUACAUCAAUCGAAAAUAGGGUAUUAUGAUUUGAUACCUCUGUUGUCUUUUUUUUUUUUCUUAAUCUUUUUAAUCUUGUUUUGUUUACCAUGAUUAGAGGAAAAAGAAAUUUUCAUUAGUGACAUAUGAAUGCCAUGUGUCUUACAUAAUCUUAUUUCUAUUGGAUGCUUAUCUCUUUAAUUUUCUAUAUGUUUAUAUAAACAACGUCCUUAGCAACUUUAUGAAUAUGAUAAAGAAAAUGUAUGAGUUUAAGCCUCUGAUAGAAUAUUGAUUUUGAAGAAUUGCUUUUAGGGUUUUAUGGCUGUUGACGCUGCUAAUUUAGGAGUAGAAUAAUUUCAGAAUUUAAUCUUUGUCACUCUCAUUCCUUUGAAAAGUUGCUCAAGGUUAAAGAUUUUAUAGUUUAAAAAGCUAGCUAAUUUGGUACAUCUAGUAGACAGAAUGUAAAAAUUAAACCUAGAAUAAAGAAAAAUAAAUAAAAUACUAAUAUAUGCGUUUUUUUUUUAUUAAUUAUAGUAUAUACUCCAAACCUAGCUAAACUAUAAUUUUCAACCAUAAAAUGGUGGCCUCCUGGCCUCCUUCGUUGUCCUGAUGAGCUAAAGCUUAUCUAAAAUUCCAUAAUUACCUUUAUAUUUACAUUGGUAUUUUUGUGGGAAAGGGACCAUAAUUUGGUUAUUUUACAGCAAGUUGAGUGAAUGUUGCGUGUGCUACUAGUAAACAAUUGUACACUGAAUCGAAAGAGAGAUUUGUGUAACACAUCUCAUCUUAAUUCCCACUGAGUUGCAUAAUUGCAAUCAAUGUUUGUCUUUUCUUAAUUCAUCUAAGAUCAAUCAAAUAACUUAGGAAAAUCUUUUGAAUUAAGGAGAACAAUGAUGUCAUAUAUCAUAAGAAUAUAGAUCAUUUACAUUUUGUCGUAAACCCAUCCAAUAUGGCCUUCUCCCUUUGAACAGAGACCCAGAAAUAUCUUCAACUACAAUGAUUUUAUAAAAUCCUAUACAAGGGUUGACCUUUUCAUUUUUAAUGAACUUUAUUUUAUACGGUGGAGAUUUCUUUAAACUCCAAGAAUAUAUAAUUGCACUCCAUAUUAAUUAUCAUGUAACCUAGAUUGACAAAACUAACCUUCUUUUCAAUCUUAUUUAUUUUAAACUUGUUUUAUGUAUAAGAAUAUCACUAAACCGUUUUUUCUUAUAAAAAUAAAGAUAGAAUAUGUAAUUUUGUAUUCCAAUUUCGCUCUAUAUAUGUCAAUAUUUGGUAAGUCUUCUAUGCUCAUGAAGUUGCAACCAUUAACAUGUACACAAUGCUAGUGAAAGAUUAACAGAAAAAUACAUAAUAAUAUCUUAAAUUAUCUUAAUUUGGAACGAAACCAACCUCUUGUUGAAAUUCAUAAUGAAUCCAAUUUCUUCUCUAAACCUACGACCAGUAAGUUAAUAGUUGAUCGCUCUACAACUAAACUAUAAUGAAUAACAUAAUAUUAGAUUUAGUAGAGUUCAAUUUUCGUUCUCAACUCAUGACUAAUAUGAGCUUAAAGUUUUCUUAUAUGUAUAUAUAUAUACUUAUUAAUAAGAAAGUUAGAGUUUUACUAGAAAUUCAAAUUUCAUGCAAUUAAAAUCAUAGUCUAUUAUUUGCAAAGCAUAGAAAAGAUAUUAGAAAGUAUGGUUUGCCAAAGAUUUCUAAUGAAAGAAGCUCCUAAAUAUGAGAAAAAUAAUAAAAGAGAAGCUAUAACUGAGAUGGUGAUGGAAUUCUAAAAGAGAACCUUAAAGCUAUAAGAACAACAAAUCAGGAACAGUUAUAUACAUAGAAUAUUAUACUCUUCAAGAUAAAUUCAAAUGCAAUUGGAGUAUAAUUUAUAAAUGGGUCUAGUGGAACUGUCAAAAUGAAUCGAAUCACGUGUGAAAUAAUAAUUGUAAUACGUGCAAUAGAUAAAAAGUUGGUAAUUAUAAAUGUCUCUCAUUAUUGUAUGAGGUCAGGAUUUCAAUUCUCACAGCUUUUUAAUAAUUCCUUUGAUGUACUGAAACAAUGUAAUUCUCAUAAUGCAUAGAACAAAUGAAUUCAGAAAAGACUAGCAUAUUGUAGUACUGCAGAUGACCCUUAGGUAAUGCAAAUUUGACAUUCAUGUACCUUUCGAUGUCCCUACUGAAAUCAAAUAAUUAUAACCUGACCAUAGCUCUGAAUCAAGCAUGAAAUGUAAAGAAAAUAAUUAACACAACUAUUCAAUUUACUUCUUCUUCUUCUUCCUUUAUUUUUUUUUUUUCAAUUGCAAAAACAAUAGCUAUAUGGCACUGAUAAUGAAUAUAUAUAUGUGUGUGUAGCAUGAGAACUAUUUGCUCAAACACAGCAAUAGGUCAAUGAAAAUCGUAUACUAGAGAAUUAAAUUAAAUAAGUAUUAUACAUAUCCAAUACAUAUAAUUGUUAUAAGUUAGGUAGUAUUAUAUGAAUUAGACUAGACCUAAAACUUAAAAACAGCCAUAAAAACUAAAAAGGGUAUAAACUAGCAAAAGAAAAACUCACACCAAGAAAAUAAAGAGCUUAAAAGGGUCUAAAAACGGCAAAAGAAGGAUCAAAACAAGAAAACUCUGUUGACCCUUUUGUUGAAGAUCCAAACCUCAUCUCAUCACAGAUCCAGCCCCCUUGAUAUAUGGAGGGGUCAGUUCAGGGCCUGUCAAUUCUACCCACUUGUGAAAAAUGUUUGUAGAGGACGCAAUCCAUUAUAUCAAAAACAACUGCAACGUUAUUACUGAGGUUAAAGAAUUAAGUUUCAUUUUCCUCAUUCUUAAAUUGGGUAUUAUUCUUUUGAUAUCUGUAGAGAAAAGAGUGACUUGGUCAGUCAGGAUUUAAAGAUUUCGGUAAAUUUGGUACCUAGGAUUACGAUGUAUAACUGUGUUGUGGGUACACCAUCUCUCUCUACUGACAUAUCUCUUUAGCACCAACCAAUCCUAAUAUCUCUUGUAUUCAUUAUAAUACCCUUUUGAUGAGCUUGAAACCUCUCUCUUCUCUCUUUUUCAGUAUUUAUACCCUUCAAAACUCCUCAAAACUCAUAUCACCUUUCUCUUGAGUCUUUACUCUCUUCCUCUUCUUCACAGUUGUUUUUGCUUAUAAUUGGCUCCUUUUUUGUUUUCAUUUUUAUUUUUCUCUUUCCUUCUUUCUCCAUAUUCUUUUUCUCCAAUCCAAUCCUUUUGAGUCUUUGGUACUUGUCAGUUUAUGCAACAGAGAAUAAUCGUAUAGUAUUAGAAUAGCCUUUUUUUAACCAAGUGGGUCUUUCUUAUUUCACAUAUCUAGACAUGGGAUUUGAGCUUUUGAAGCUAUUAUUUUUUCUCUAAUGUGUUAUAAAAACUGUCCACCGAUUUGCUUUUAAUUGUUUGCCUUUACUUUUGUUUCAUGAAAUGAGAUUUAGGGUUAGGGUUAGGGUUGCGCCAUUGUUUACACAAAAAUUCAAGAAAUGUAAUUUGCUAUUAGCAAAGCCAAGUCUUUCCCUUUUCCAUCAUCUCUUUGUGUCUGCAUGGAGAGAUGAUGAUUAUUAUUACUACCAAGAUCUAAAAGCAAAGAGGAAAACCAUUACACCAGUCACUGUUUGCUGAUGGAGCAUCAUCAAGAUUCACAAACUUUAUCUAGGGCUAGUGGGUUGUUGUGGUCCCUUUUCUUUUUCUUUUUUUCUUUUUCUCUUGCUUCAAUCCAAUAGUCCCUUUGAUAUGGGAAUCUUGAUGAUGCUGCAGCGGCAAUAAAUGGCUAAUUUUAUCUCCAUUUCUAAACAGUACUAUGGGCCUAAGGUGAUCCAUUUUGAUAUUAACUUCUCAAAGAUGAAGGUAAAGUCAUUUGGUUUUUUCUUUUUUAAUUUUUUAAUUAUUAUUAAGAAGAACAGCAGUUAUACAGUCUUGAUACUGCUGCUGUUUAUAUUCACAAAUACAUAUUUCUUGUUUUUCUUUUUCUUUCUGGUUUAUUUUAUGAUAGUAUAUAUGCACUAACAUUGCUAGGGUUUUGUGCUUCUUAACCCCCAACUUGCACCAGGUUUCAUAUUAUUAACUAGAUGUUGCCCCAUAAUCCAUUUGGUAAAAUGUUGGAAAUCUCUCUGUUAACUGGAGUUUUUCUUUUUCAUUUUUAGUUUUAAGUGCUCGCUUUUGCUCUGACUGGCUUUUUUCAGGAGGUUUUUGUACUGCCACCGCCUGGUCUCAGUAGGUAUGUCUGCCUUUUGGUUAAAUUCUGUACCAUUACAAAUCAUGGAGUCUCCUUUAUUUUUUUUGGAUUCUUGGGUUUCUUUGCUUCUUUUUCUGGAUUUGUUUCUCUUUAGAUCUUGAUCAUAAUCUUGGACACUUUAUUGUUUAUGCAAGGUCUCAGAUCAGUGACACAAGCUCCUUGUUUUGUGCCUUUCUUUUUCUUGGUGGGGAAGUGGUAUUUGAUGUUUUUGGAAUAUGUAACAAAGUCUCAUUUACAAUCAUUUUGCUGCUGUUGUACAUUAGUAAUUAUGGAGGUUUGCUUGUCCCAUGGCCAUUUGAUGAAAAUCUACAGUUUUUGAUGGUUGAUUUUCAGAUUUGGCAUUUUCUUACUACCAUUAAUUUCUUAACCCUUUUUUUCUGAAGCUAUACAUGAUUUAGUUUUCUGGGUUUCUUGAAAAUUUGCAGCUUUUGAUUGCAAAGCAUUCUCUCUCUUAUUCUGGUUAAAUAAAAAUAUAUGUUGGAAAAGAGAAAGGAUUCUCAGCUGUAUUUAGGGUUUGGAAAAUUUGUGGUUUUCUUUACAGAUAUUAUGCUGUGGAAUUAAACCAAAAUAAUUUUUAUACGUGGAGGAUGGUUAAAUACUUAGCUGAAAGGUUUAAAAUUUGAUCUAUUACUGAUAAUAUAUGAUUUUCUAUAGGGUUCAACUGUUCAGUAAAAGCCAGAAAAUUUUCAUUUUUUCAUCUUCCUCUAUCUACAUUCGUAUUUUUCAAGGGAUUAUUGUACAUAUAAAAAAUACACAUAUUUCUGUGUGUCAGAUACAUGUAUAAUCUUGAAAAUCACUUUAAAGAGCCUAAUUUCUUCAUUUAUUUAAUGAACAACUUAUUGAAUUUAUCAUCCUUGAAAGAAUCAGUAAAAGGAAAUAACUAAAUCUAAGAAAGAUAUGCCACAAAAUGGGAAUCAUGUUUAAUUAUCAUUUUUCAUGUUUUUUCACAUUGGACAAUGAUGUGUUCUAUAUUCAGGCAAUGUGGUGAUAUUGAUGAUUUGGUGGCUGACUUGUAUAUAAUAUGCAUCAUAAAUUUUGAUUGACCUUUUAUACAUACAUUAAAUCAAGGAAUAUUUCAGCUUUACUUUUUCCUUUCAACUCAUGAUCCUUAGGAAUGCCAACUGAUCAAACUUGAAUGAUGUACAGUGCAUGCUAACUUUUAACUAUAAGGUUUUGCAUUGAAACUGUUGUGUUCUUGGCUGCAUCAUGUUCAUGUGCUUUAUAUGAGUUUCAAAGUUACUGGGUGUUUUUUUCUUCUUCUUUAUAUGAUAGAUGUUAAUCUUGAAAAUCUAAAGAAAGAUGAUAUGUACGAAAUGCAAGUAGUUACUGUCUUUUUUUCUUAAUUAUGGAUUUAGUUAUGAUCAAUGAUAAAAUGAUCUUACUCUUCUUCCUUCUCUCCCUAUGCUCCUUCUUUACAAAUGUAAUUUCCCUGGUAAAACAACCAUAUAUAUAUAUGCACAUAUCAUUAAGAAUAGUUUGGCUGUUGUUUCAUUGUGAGAUGCNNNNNNNNNNNNNNNNNNNNNNNNNNNNNNNNNNNNNNNNNNNNNNNNNNNNNNNNNNNNNNNNNNNNNNNNNNNNNNNNNNNNNNNNNNNNNNNNNNNNNNNNNNNNNNNNNNNNNNNNNNNNNNNNNNNNNNNNNNNNNNNNNNNNNNNNNNNNNNNNNAAACCUAGUGAACAUGAUGAUUAAUGCAUAAUUUUCCUUAUUCUAUGAGAUUCAAUGAAAAAGAGCUUGUCAUAAUAUAACAAUUAUAAUGUAUAAUUUUUCCUUCUUUUUGUGAGAUUAAGUGAGAAAAAUUGUUAUAUAUUGAAGACUGAUGUAUUUCUAUCAGUAUUGAUGGUACAUUUUGAAUUUUUAAAAACAAGAUCUCAAAGUUUCAACAUGAUUCAGUAUUAUUCAAGCUUUCAUGGUUUCCAUGUACUUAAUAUAACAAAAUUCAUCCAUUAAUUUUACUUCAAAAAAAGCAUAGUAUCAAAUAGAAAUUGUGUGUAUAUGUCAGGUUCUAGAUUCGUGUUCUUUUGUUAGAACCAUUACUUUGCAUUGACCCGUAUAUUACAGUUGAAGGUUGAAAGCAAUGUUUUUGAAAUUAGAAUGAUUAAUCUUACCAGUUUAAUUGGGACCAGUUUUAUCUGGUUUAGUAUUAAAUUUCAUAUACAAUUUUCGAAUCAAUCCCAAUCGAAUAAAUUCAAUGAAUAAAAUAAUGUGCUUAUUGGUUUUUUUAUUUAUUUUCUCUUAAAAUAAGAUCAUAUUUUUUUAUGCUUAUCCAACUCAACAAGUUCCAAUGUAACAUAGGCAUACUAUGUCAGUACACAUCGAGUAACUUUUAAAUAUAUGAUAAAUUUAUUAAUAAUGGAAUCAAAUUGAUAAGAGCUAUGGGAAACCACUAGACCAAUUUAAAUUGAUGGACUUUAGCUAAAGACAUCAAGAUUAAUCAGAGUCUUAGUUGCCAACUUAAUCGUGUUUGAAUAAUGAAUCAAAUCCUAUAGUUUUACCCUAUUGAAAGACUUGAAACAAUAAAACAAAGUCAAUAAGAUUAAGGGUUUUAUUAUGAUCACUAAUUACCUUUUAAAUAUUGAUGAUCCAUCCAUAUGGAUUUAAUUAUAAUUAUUAAUUACCUUCUAAUAUUGUAGAUCCAUCCCUUUAUAAAAGUGUCAAAGUGCCUGAUAAUUUUAUUUUCCAGAGUCACAAAUAAAAGGAAAAAAAUUUUAUUUUACCUUCUGUUUGAGAGUUUUUCUUUAAGGAGAGAAGAAGAAGAAAGGAAAAGUAAAAUUUAUUAUUAUUAUUAUUUAUUUACUUUUCUUUCUCUUGUUUAGAUGGGUGGAAAAUAAAUAGAGAAAUUCAUUCUUUAGUUCAAACUCUUAUUUUAAUCUUUAUUUUAUUUUCCUUUAAAAAUAGAAAGAAAAAAUAAACUGAAAAAUAAUAGUUUUUUUCUCAAACAUGAAAGAUUAACUUUUUAAGUUUUUUUUUUAAUUUUUAUCCUCUUUUAUUUUUUGGCAAUUCAAAUAAAAUAUAGAUGAUUUUUACAUUCAUUCUACAGCUUAAUACAAUAAAAGAAUGAUUAUUUUUAUUACGAAAUUCAUAAUCAUUGCAUCUCCACUAAAUAAACAAACUACUAACCAAAUGAUGGAAAGAGAUAGUCUGUCGUCAGUACCAAUUAAGACAUGGACAUUGUCACACAAACCUUGAACUGUUACAAACAACCUCGGACUAUCAGGCCCACAAAAAGGGCAUAGACUUAUCUUUCGGUUGAAUUGAUCAUCAAUUUGAUUGGCCCAGGUUCGUUUUCUUCACUUUUUCUUUUCCUUUUCAUUCUUUUCUUGAUAUUGUUAUAAUAUAUGUUCGGUUCAAAUUUAUUUAAAAAAUUAAAUUAAAAAAGUAAAGUUAAAAAUAAUAUUUUAAUAUUAUAAAAUAUUUAAACUUACUAAUAUAAAAUUCAUUUAAAAAUUUUAAUUAGAAUAUAGUUCAGCUACAACUAAUUUUAUAUAUUUAAUNNNNNNNNNNNNNNNNNNNNNNNNNNNNNNNNNNNNNNNNNNNNNNNNNNNNNNNNNNNNNNNNNNNNNNNNNNNNNNNNNNNNNNNNNNNNNNNNNNNNNNNNNNNNNNNNNNNNNNNNNNNNNNNNNNNNNNNNNNNNNNNNNNNNNNNNNNNNNNNNNNNNNNNNNNNNNNNNNNNNNNNNNNNNNNNNNNNNNNNNNNNNNNNNNNNNNNNNNNNNNNNNNNNNNNNNNNNNNNNNNNNNNNNNNNNNNNNNNNNNNNNNNNNNNNAAUAGGAAGAAUUUAGAUUUAAUUAGGACUUUAUUAAGUUAUACUAUAUUCUAGUAUUUUAUUUACUUUUGAUUUAUUUAGGAAUUUGUAUUUAAUUUUAAUAAAUUUUUUUUAUAGGAAAAAUUAGAAAAGAACCAUAAAUGACCAUGAAAAGUUAUAUUAUGGCUUAACAUGAGCAUGUUUGUACCCAUGUUGCAUUCUAGAAGAAGAAUCAGAAAAUAUGGCUUGACACACGGACAUGCUAGAAGCCGUGUCUGUCUCUGGAUUUUGAAUAGUAUGACGCAUGGGUAUUAUAUGAGCGUUCUUGAAACCGUGACUAUUUUGGCCCGAAUCAAAGAAAUUGUAAGAACACAACAUAAGUGUGUGCCAAGCCUUGCCGUAAGGUGAAGAACGUGAGAUGGCCAUGUGCCAAAAGGUGUCGAAUAAAAAAAAAAUUUCUUUCACAUGAAACUCAAAAAUUUAGAACAAAAUAUAGUUUUCUUGGAGUCUUGGCUGUAAAAGGGGGAUCAAGUUGUACUUACCGCUCUAGCUAGAUUAUAAAUUAUUAUUUUUUUAAUUUAUUGAUUGAGAAUGACCAAGGACAUUAGAAGUUCAAAUCUCAGCGAUCCAUCCUUAUUAAUAAUUCUAUAUGCACUAAAGAAAAAAACAAUUGAAUAAGAAAAGUUUGACUACUAAAUUCAAAAAUGAAAAAUGAACUAAUAAAAUUAACAAAAGUCAAUUGGCUUGGAUUUUAAUAGCCUAAUUAACAUUACUAGUUUGGCAAAGUCUGAGUUUAAAAGCAUGUAAUUUCUAGGAUAUCUGUUUGUCUUUUUAUAAAAAUUGUGACUCUUCUAUUCAUUAGAAAAUAAAAAAUAUAACUUGAUCAAUAAUAAAAAUAAAAAUCACUAUAAUCAAGAAGUACAAAAUAUUUUUUUUGACUGAAAUAGUAAAAACUUGUGUUUAUAUUAUUCAAUUGCGUUAGAAGAGCUCUUUUAAUUUACAACUUGGCGAUCUGUAUAUUUCACUCAAUAGUUAUUUUAAUCACAAAUUAUCUUUUUGGUCUUUAAAUGGGUCUGAUUGUGAGAAUGUCAAUAAAAAAAAAAGAUUCAAAUCCCACAAAGAGUAUAAUCCAAAGCUCUAUAAAGGAAAUCAAAAUCUCAAAAAAGAAAACAAAAAACUCUGUAAAAGAGAAAUCAAGAAAUCCUAAUAAUAAAGAAAUAAAAUAUUAAUAGAUCUAAAAAAUCUAUAUUUAUUGAUUAAAAAAUAAUGAUAUAAAUUAAAAAAGAAGGAACCACCGUCAAUCUAAAGAUGAUUGGUGGUGGCCAAAAGGAAAAAGAUGUUGGUGAAGAACAAUAAGAGAGAAAAAGAGUAGAGAGACGAAUAAGAUUGAAAUUAGGAUAUUCUUUUUAUAAAAAGUUUGGUAAAUUAAUUUGGACUAAGUGUUAUUUAUUUGAGACUACGACUGGUUCUUCUUUUAGGAAAAAAAAUAAAAUUUUGCUGAUUGGUAUAUAUUAAUAAAUACAUCUUAAUAUAAAGUUGAAAUUAACUUCAAUUAAGGAGUAUAAAUAAUUUCUUUUUAUAAUUUUUUUUUAUUUAACAUUUUUUAAUCAUAUACACUAUAAAAACAACAGUUGUUUAGUGACUACCAUAUGUAGUUUCUAAAUACUCACCAAAUCAAUACAACGACCAUUUGGAGACUAUAAAUGCUAGUCCCUAAACAACAUAGUAGUUGUAUAGUAUAAUUCGAUAAAUCAAUCUUACCUACAUAUUCAUACAAAUAUAAUUGUCUAAAUAUUAAACUCAAUCUCUUCAUUACUCCCAUAAAAAAGGAGAAAAAAGUUAAUUUCAAAACGUAAUACCAAAUCACCUCCAUAAACGAAAAAUCAUAAUUCAUAACAAUAUAAACACAAUAAAAUUAAACUUACAAGAAAAAACUAAAAAAUACUAAACAUAUUUAAAAUAAUUUGUGACGGGAAUAAAGAAAAAUAUAAAAUAAAAGAAUUAAAAUCAAUUAUUAUCUUAAAUAUAACUAAAAAGUAAAAGUUGUACCUAAAAAUUAUUUCUUAAGCUCCAUUGAAGAGAAUCUAAAUAUACAAAUUGAAAAAAACAUACAAAGAAAGUUUAAAACAAAAAUCCAAUAAAAAAAUUGAGGACAAUAGAUUAAGUGAGUAGUUUUCACUAAUCAAAUAAGCGCAAGGGUAGAUACCCACAAUCUUUAGCACGUUCACGAUUGAGUUCAUUAAGGACCAAAAUAUGAUACAUUAGUAAUAAACCAUAAUGUAAGCGAUAGGGAAUGAGCCAAUUAAGUCCAUUUCGAGUUAGGCCAUUCAGGUUUUAGGUUAUUUUAUGUUGAGGUAUGUAAUUUUUAGAAGUGUGAAAUAGAUAUUUCUCAAAAUUGUUGAGCUAUUUUUUGUUCUCCUUUAAGCAGAAGUCUUAAAAGUGUAAUCAAGUGGUAUGAUCAGUUAAGAAUUUCAAUAUUGAUAUUUUAUACUAAUAAUGCAAUUAUCAGAUUAAUUACAUAAAAAGAUUGCAUAUGAGUUCUAUUAGAUGUCUGAAACAAAUUGCAUAUAUAUCGAAUUAUGCUGAAAAACACUCUAUCAAACACCUACAAUCUAACUAUUAUAAUGAAUACCUCAACUACUUUGAAUUAAAACACAUCCCAUGAAAUUCUUUUGAUAUGAUAAAUAAAAGUAUGCAAUGCUUUAAAUAAUUUAUGCAAAUUUCAAACUAGUCAAAUGUCUUUCUAAUAACUUCUUUCUUGUUUUUCAUAAUAGGUAGUUAUUAGGGGAUAUGGAUCUAUCAAAUACAUAUUUCAUUGCUAGAGUAAAAAAGAAUUAACAUUAUGAUUUAUUCUAGUUUGGUACUAAGACCUACAACAAGUCCUUAAAAAUCGCGCCUUAAGAUCAUCUCCACUAAUUGAUUAUAUUAAUAGCUAGAGAUCAAGCCUUACAAGGUUUUGAUAAAUGGACACCUUAUCCAGUAUUUAAGUUAUCCUCACUCUGACUAACCCACAUAAAUUAUUAGACUUCUACUAACUUUUCACUUGCUCCGGUAUAUGCAAAUGGGCCUCCCACAAACUCUCAAUGGCAGACUGUGUCAUCUAUACAAUGACAACAAGCUUUAUCUUAGGUGCUUAGAGACCUUAUAAGGGAUAUUAACUUUAAAAAAAAUAAGAUAAAAUUAUAGAACUCUUAGAUGGAUCAAGUACAAAUUUGAUGCAAGAAAAUCUGUUUUUGGAAAGCAAUUAGUAUAAACUAUACAAGAAUGAAAGUAGAAGAUGAAAAGAUGUAAUAGGUAUUUUUCAAUUCUUGAGAGUUUGAGUUAAAUGCUAUUCUUUCCUUAUUGAUUUAGUGAACUGAGGUUUGUACUUAUAGGCAACAAAAAAUAGCUGUUGUAAGAUGUAAUUUGAAAAUUUUAACAGUUGAAAAGUUAGGCUUCUGAAAAGCUGUAACUUUUUGUCUAAGUUCUGCAGAAAGCUAUCACAAAAAGUUGUGAUUUGACAGACAAUCCGCUUUACAAUAUGCAAUGUUACUAUUACUUCAUUGAAAGAAAUAAAAUCAUUCGAGCAUAUGUGUGAGUUGUCCAAGUGUGUGAGAAAAAGCAGUUAGAUACCUUAAAGGUAUCAAAUAAAUGUUCAGAGACAAUUUUCUCAAAAUACAAGAAUUAACUUGAGUGCAUAAAAUCCACUUUUGAAAAAAAGAUAUUGCUUUUUAUAAUGUGUAAUUAUAUAAAAGUUUGAAAUAUUGCGGUUAUCCAUUUAUAAGACAUCUAAUAGACAACUUAACCUACUUGGACUGAUUUUAAUACGACUAUCCUUUGGAUUGGCCAACUACUUCAAACAAGAUAGAUGCCUAAUAAUAGGAUCUAUAUUAAGUCUCCUCCUCAGAAUACUUUUGUACCUACAUUGUUAGAUGCAUGCAUAUACAAUAGCAUUCCACAUAAAUUUUUGAUUUCAAAUCAUUUAGAAUUUAUAUCAAUUUGGAUUUCAAGUUAUUUCAAGUUAAUCAUUUUUAGUUCUAAUUCAUUUCAGUUUUAAGUUGUUGUAGGUUCAAAUUGCUUGACCAGUCUGAGUUGUUUCCUUUAGAAAUUAUUUCAGUUUCGAAUAACUUUUCAUCCAAUUAUUUUAGAUUUAGGUUGUUUCAUAUGUUGGGUUGUCUUAAAUUUCAGUUUAAUUAUCGAGUUAACUUAUCAAGUUUUAUUAGAUUAAAUAAAAAUAAAAAAAAUAAAAAUUGAGUUCAUCCCAAUUUAAUUUACACACUUUAGUCCUUUAUUCCCACAUAUAUACAUAUCGUCAUUUUCAUUUUCUUUUUUUUUUUUAAUUUUCAAUUUAUGGUAUUUUUACUCACCUCUCUUAUUGUACUCUUUCUAUAAAUUAUAAAAAGUAAUAUGACUUAUGCUCUAUCUUUAUAAAUUGUAUCAACAAGUUUGUUUCUAUGAAAAAAAUUCAUCUCUUAAAUAUGAUAACUCUAAUUUUCAAACAAUUUGUUGUGAAAUAGCUGUUAUAUAGGACUAUUUGGAGUCAUUUUAAGUUUUAUAUCAUACUAAUCUAUCUAUAUAUAUAAACUUUUGAAAUUUAAAAUUUUAUUGACAUAUAUAUUUAAUUUUUGUUACAUAAUUUUUUUUUAUUUUGACAUAUAAGAUUCAAAUUUAUGUGUAAUUUUAUAAUUUUUCUAUUAAUUUAUUAAUUUAUAAAUUACAUUUCUAAUUAAACAUCGACUCUAAUUCUAAGAUAUAACAUAUUAAUUAUAUUUUAAUAUUAUAUUAAUUAAUAAAUAGUUUUUUUUCAGAUAAUGAUUUUAAUUAUAUCCUAAAAUAUAUUAUAUUAAUUAUAUUUUAAUAUUAUAUUAAUUAAUUAAUUAGUUUUGUAAUUACAUAAUAAUAAAAUAACAUUUUAAAUUAUAUUUUUAAUAUUAUAUUUAAUAAUAAAUAAAGUUUUUAUUAUAUAAUAAAUUUUAUUCUUAGAAAAUAGUAAUAUCAAUAUAAUUGAUAGUAUAAAUUUUUAAAAUAAUUUUCAUAUUACUGCAAAAAUAAAAUUUUUAUAAUUUUAAAAAAAUUAAAAAAAUCUAAAAAUAGUUAGUUUGCUAUUAUUUUUAAAAUAUUAUAAAUUAAUAAUAAAUAUUAAAAAAUUAUUAAAUUAUAUAUAUUAACUUAAUUUUAUAAUCGAAAAAAUAACAACGGCCGUGCAACGCAUAGAUAGGCGACUAGUGUCAAUAUAAAUUUUAAUCAUUUUAGUUGUGGGGAUUAUCUUAAUUUCAACCCUUAAGGUAGUAUCUAGUUUAAGUAUUUUUGGACUCGUGCACUUUAAAUUUAGGUCGUUAUAAGUCUUUAUUUCAUAUUCGAACUUUUUUUUUAAUUUUUAAACUUAUUAGGUUCCAGUAGUUAAUUUUUAAUUCAAAUCAAGUUUAAAUGAAUUAAAUCAAAUUUUGAAAUUUGAGUCUAGCUAUCAUAUAUUAUAUAUAAUAUAAUAGAAAAAGGUAUAAUACUAAAUAGAAAAAUAACAAAUAAGAAAAUCCUCAAAUAAAUAUUUAGAAUAAAUAAUCUAAUAUCAUAUAUAUAUAUAUAUAUAUAUAUAUAUAUAUAUAUAUAUAUAAACAAACUUGUUCAUUUAUGCACAGUAGUAAGUCCCGUCUGGUGUAAGGGCAGCAAAUCUGGUGGCUUGGUUCAUGUUUGUUUAGAAAGUUAUCUUGAUUUAUUUUAAAAUGAAUUUAGAACCUUUUUUCUGUAGAUCUUCUUCUUUCUCAAACUCUUCUACCUCUGAGUCUUCAAGGUAUAAAUGAUUAGUAAAUAGUGAGGAAAUCACUAUUGAAGAUUUUUCAAAGCAUAUUGAUGAUUGGAAAAUACCCAAGGUUCAAAAGAAGCAAAUCUAUGAGUUUUCAAAGUUUUCUCUCUUUAAAACUGAUUUUACUAUCAAAACUGAAGAAAGAGAUAUUCAAAUUUCAAAGCCUUUUGAAGAAAUUUAUCUUCUGAAUCCAAAGACCCUCCAGAAGCAUAAAGAAAAAGAUUAUAAGUAUAUUCAUAUAGGCCUUGUCCAGGUAGGAAUAAAGCCCCUUACCAGAGAAGGUUUAGAUACUUCCAUCUUAGCAGUCCUUAGAGAUGCUAGGUUUACAAAUUUCUAUGAUUCUUUAUUAGGAACUGUUGAGUCAAGCCUAAAUAAAUGACCAUUUUCCUUCAAUUGUUUUCCAAACAUUAUAAUUUCCUUAAAUGAUAAAAAUAUUUUAAAAAGCAUUGUUCUUCAAAUAAAGACACAUAAUUACAAAAUGCUUGAAGGAUUUAUUCCGAUAGCAUUGAUUUUCAGAAUACAUUACAAAGCCAUGAUUUCUGCUUUUAGUUCGAAACACAAGCUCCAUUCACCAAAAGGAGAAACCUUUUUUCUCCAAACAGAUCUUUCCAUAUCCAAUGCAACUAUUCCAAAAACCAUUCAAUGGAAAGAUAUAACUCUUCCAGAAGAAUGGAUCCUUGAAGGUGCAACCCAACCUGAAUCACCAAAGCAAACAGAGCCAAAUACAAACCUCAAAAACAUAACCUAGUUUUCAGAUGGAAAAGUAAAGCUUACAUUCAACAGGAAAUCAACCUCUUCUAGAUUUUCUGAUGAUGAUUCUUUAACAUCGACCAUAGAUAUUGGAAGGGUAUCAAAAAUAUCUUAUGUUAUUUAUGCUCCUUACAAAGAACCAACUCCAUCUCAAACACAACCAAGAUUUUCAACAUCUGAUAUACCAAGCUCAAACACUAUAUUACAGAAUGUUGAUUACUAAAGCAAUAUCUCCAGACCCGUCUACAAUGAACCAAAGUAAGAUGAUGAUGAUAUAGAGACCGUCUCUACCCCCUCUUCACCAUCACCAUCUGCAAUAACACAAAAUCUAGAAGCAGAAAUCAGCAUGAUUUUAAAAAAAUUUCAAAUCAAUAAAAAGCUUUUACAUGAAGAUUUCUAUUCAAAGAAAAAUCAUUCUAAAAAACUUUGGUUUUUUAAGCAUUUUUUACAAGAAAAAGACAGUAUUCAAGAGAAAUACUAUCAAUUUUGCAUAAAAAAUAAGAUCCAAAUCAAAUUUUUUGAUUGGUUCCAGAUUUAUUGCAAAGAAAAUAGUAUUCUUUAUCCUUUCAAAGAAAAGCUUAUUAGUCCUGUUACUGUAAGAAACAAGACUCCAGAGUGGAAGGUCGGGAAAAACCAAACCAUCCAGUCUGAACAUCCUCCUCUUAGGAAAAUAACCAUUCCUUAUGGAGAGAAUGAAAUAGAGGCUACACCUUACAAAUUAAUAGGAGAAGAUCUUGAGAAAAAUAUCAAGAAUAUUGUUCAGUAGAACAAUUUCUCGAAUACCUAUCUUAACAUAAUAGGGAAGCAGCUUGUUAGGAUAGAAAGCCAGAUCCAAAAACCUCUUGUAGUCUUCACCUUUGCAAUCCCCAACACUGAUCAUCCAAAAGAGGUAAGCCAAUCAGAAAAGCUUAAAAAUUCAGUCUUCAAAUCCUACCAAAUCUCAAAGUCUAGCCAAGAUCAAUUUCAGAAGCAAACUGAGUUUGCUAGAGUAGUCAGGGAACAGCUUAGCAAAUUAGCCACUUCUGAGUCCUCCAAAAAUCUAGUGCCAGAUACUCCUCAAAGCAGUAGAAAUAUCAAUGCUAUAGAUCAAGCCCAAUACAACGAAUCCAAUGAUUUAGAGCUUGAAAGUGUCACUGAAAAACCCUCCAACAUUAACAGAUUGGGAUGGCAAGCCCCUAGAUUGACCUAGCAUACUUUUAGGAAUACUGCCCCAGAUCUAGGAAUAGAAAAUAGGAAUAAUAUCCUAACCCAAUCUAGAUUCAAUGCCUCUUCCAUCUAUGAAUGGAAUAUAAAUGGAAUGUCAGAAUACAACAUUCUUAGUCUCUUACAAUAGAUGACCAUGCCAGCCAAUGCCUAUAAAACUCAAAGUGGUACCUCUGAUAGAGCCAUUGCUGAACUCCUUAUAGCUGGAUUUUCUAGCCAGCUUAAAGGAUGGUGGGAUUACCAUCUCACACAAGCACAACAGCUCCAAAUCCUAGGUGCCAUCCAAACCACCAUAGAAAGGACCCCAUCUUAGAUGAGCUAGGAAAUCCUAUUAAGGAUGUUGUGUCAACCUUAAUCUCGACGAUUUUCCUCCACUUCAUAGGAGAUCAUUCUCUUCUAAAAGAUAAGAAUGCUGAGCUCUUUAGCAAUCUAACCUGUAAAAAGCUUAGCAAUUUCCAAGCUUAUAAAGAUACCUUCCUGACCAGAGUCAUGCUUAGGGAAGAUUCAAACCAACCUUUCUGGAAAGAAAAAUUCUUAGCUGGUUUACCUAAGAUACUAGGUGAAAGAGAAGCCCAUAAUGGCCAGAUCCCUUAUGAUUUCUACACUUAUGGUGAAUUAGUUAGCCUUACCCAAAAAGAAGGAUUGAAGAUUUGCCAUGACCUUAAACUUCAAAGACAACUCAAAUGGAAAAUGAAGAAGACUAUGUAAGAACUAGGUAGUUUUUGCAACCAGUUUGAGUAUAAUCCCAUAGAGCCUUCCCCUACCUGCAAAGGAAAAUGCAAAGAAGAUUUUUCCAAAUCUUUUAAGAAAAAAUGACUUUUCAAAAAUAGGAGAACUCCAAAAAAUAAAGAGAAUUUCUACAAAAAGCCAUCAUCUUCUAAAUUUCCAAAACAAAAUUCCAAAAAUGAUUUUAGCAAAAUUACUUGCUAUAAAUGUGGCAAAAAGGGUCAUACUUCAAAGUAUUGCAAGUUUUUUAAAAAACUUCUUGAGCUCCAAAUAGAAGAUGAAAUUUUGAGCAAAAUUUCAGCCCUUCUUGUUGAUUCCUCUGAAUUAGAAUUUUCGAAUAGUGAGGAAGAGUUUCAAAUUGAUGAAAUCAAAACCUCAUCCGAUUAUUCUAAAUCAAAUUGUGAUGAUAUUCCAAAGAAUAUUAAUAUGCUCACUAGGCAAUAAGAAGCUCUUCUUGAAGCCGUUAAGCAUAUUAAUGACCCCCAAAUCCAAAAACAAGUUUUGAAAGAAAUCUUAAAAACUGAAAUCCUUGUCCCCUCUUCUAGUAAGAACACUUAUGAUCUUACUAUGAUCUUGGAUAAAGGAAAAAAGUUAAAAAACCCUCUUCCUACCAUCCAAGAACUUCAGAAAGAAAUCAAAGCCAUCAAAAUAGAGCUCAAAGAUUUGAAAGAAAAACAACAAAAUGAUUCUGUUUUACUCCAAAGCUUGAUUCUCAAACAGAAUAGGGAUUCUAAUUCUGAAGAAGAAAAUGAUUUUCAAAAUCUUGAGGUUUCUGAAAAUGUUCCAGAAAACUUCAUUAAUGUUUUAAAAGAAAUUACCUCAAGAAAAUAUUUGAUCCAAAUAAAACUCAUUUUUCCUGGUGAUUUCCAAAUAGAAACUAUCGUUUUAUUUGAUACAGGAGCAGACCUCAAUUGUAUCAAUUAUGAGCUGGUUCCUAAAAGGUAUCAUCAAGAAACAAAAGAAAGGCUUACCCCAGCCAAUAGUUCAAAGAUUAGAAUUGCGGGUAAAACUGAAACUGCAAUUCUAAAUAACAAUAUUGCUUUAAAAAAUAUUUUUGUUCUUACAAAGGAUUUACAGCAAACAGUUAUUUUGAGGACUCAUUUUAUCAAUUUAAUUACUCCUUUCAAAGUAACUACUGCUGAUAUCAUUUUUAAAGCUAAAGAUUCAAAGAUUGUUUUCCCUUUUAUAGAAAAAUCCAAGAAGAGAAAUCUCAAUUUUAUAAAAGCCCACUCAAUUUAUAAUUUUGAGAUAAAUGCUUUGAUUAAAGGAAAACAAACCCAGCUUUUCCACUUAAAACAAGAUAUGGGUUUGAAAAGAAUCCAAAGUCAAAUGCAAAAUGAUUUUGUCCAAAGGAAAAUCUUUGAUUUAUAAAAGAAGAUUGAAAAUGAAGUUUGUUCUGAUCUUUCUAAUGCCUUUUGGAGAAGAAAACAGCAUAUGGUAAAUUUACCAUAUGAAAAAGAUUUUUGUGAUAAAUAAAUUUCUAUCAAAGCAAGAUCCAUCCAAAUGAAUGCAACCCUAGAAAGCCAUUGUAGAAUAGAAAUAAAAGAUUUAGAGCAAAAGGGUUUGAUUACUAAAUCCAGAUCCCCCUGGUCGUGUGCAGCUUUCUAUGUCAACAAAAAUAAUGAGAUAGAAAGAGGAACACCUAGGUUAGUGAUUAAUUACAAACUAUUGAAUAAAGCUCUAAAGUGGAUUAGAUACCCAAUUCCAAACAAAAAAGAUCUUCAAAAGCUUCAUUCAGCUUUUAUUUUUUCAAAGUUUGAUAUGAAAUCAGGAUUUUGGCAAAUCCAGAUUCAUCCUAAAGACCGAUAGAAAACUGCUUUUACAGUCUCAUUUAGCCAGUACGAAUGGAAUGUAAUGCCCUUCAGAUUAAAAAAUGCUCCUUCUGAAUUUUAAAAAAUCAUGAAUGACAUUUUCAAUCCUUAUUCAAAGUUUUGCAUUGUCUACAUCGACGAUGUGUUGAUAUUUUCAAAUUCUCUAAAGCAACAUUUCAAACACUUGGAGAUAUUUUUCUAUGUUGUUAAGAAAAAUGGUUUAGUGGUUUCAAAAUCCAAGAUAUCUUUAUUCCAAACAAAAAUUAGAUUUCUUGGUCACUACAUCUCCCGGGGAACUAUCACCCCAGUUGAAAGGUCUCUAGCCUUUACUUCAAAAUUUCGAGACAAAAUUUUGGAAAAAACUCAAUUACAAAGAUUCCUUGGUAGUUUAAAUUAUGUCAUGGAUUUUUAUCCAAAUUUGAACUGUCUAGCAAAGCCCCUCCAUGAUAGAUUAAAGAAAAAACCCCCUGCAUGGACUGAUAAGCAUACAAAGAUUAUCCAAAGCAUUAAAAAGCAAGUUUCUGAAAUACCAUGCUUACACCUAGCUGAUCCAUCUGCAUUCAAAAUUGUUGAAAUUGAUGCAUCAAAUAUAGGAUAUGGAGGUAUUCUUAAGCAAGUUCAAUACAACAAAGAAUGUAUGUCCAGUUUACUUCUGCACACUGGAAUGAUACACAAAAAAUUAUUCUACUAUUAAAAAGAAAUUCUUUCGAUAGUUUUGUGCAUUUCAAAAUUUCAAAGCGACCUUUUAAACCAAAAAUUUCUUUUAAGGAUUGAUUGUAAAUCCGCCAAAGAAGUUUUACAAAAAAAUGUUCAAAACAUAGCUUCAAAACAGAUUUUUGCCAGAUGGCAAGCCAUUCUUUCUGUUUUUGAUUUUGAAAUCGAAUAUAUAAGAGGAGAUUCGAAUUCAAUUCCAGACUUUCUAACUAGAGAGUUCCUUCAAAAACAGGAGUGAAAAUGCCAAGAAAAUCAAAAGCAAAAGAAGAAAAGUCGACAACAAAUUCAAAGCCUGUUCAAAGUCCAAAAAAGGAUAUUUUACCCUCCUCUUCAAAGCCUAUCAAAACCUGGACCGAAAUUAUCCAGGAAAAAAUUGACAAAAGCAAGGAAGAUCCGGCCCAACAGCAAUUACAAAUUCAGGAGUGGCUUGCACAACAAGAUCCCGAAUUUCUAAAACGGGUCGAAGAAUAUUCAAAGCAAAUGAUACAACUUCACCCCGAAGUCUCUCUAAAGACAUCCUCCUCUUCCAACAAAGGCAAAAGUAUACUUUCUAUCCCUUUUUCAAAACCUGAUAUAGAAAUUUUUCCUCAAAACCUAUCUCAGAGCUCUCAAAGUAUUUCAAAGCCCAACUCUCAAGAAAUAGUUUUGUCACAAACAAAACUUUUCAAAUCCAAUAAAUAUAUAGAAAAGCAAAAUUUUCAAAGCAUUUUAACUAUUGAGGAAGGAUUAUGUACAGAAAGCCCCUCAAAACUGAUUUCAAAAAUUUUCCCUCCAGGAUGGUAUUUUAAGCCUCGAAUAUAUCAAAGCCUCAAACUUACUACCAGUCUAUCCUUGAGGUAACUAGUUCUGCAAAGUUCAAACACUUCAAAAAGCACAAAGACCAUAAAGGCCCUGCAUAUUCCACAUGCACCAUACAAAGAAUCCUCCACCCUUCAGAUUGGGAAAUGGAUUUACAUUCAUCAAGAUCUUUUCCAACUUCCCUCCAAAGAACCUACGCAUCAAGCCUAAACACUUCUUUCAACUAUUGGGAUUACCAACAAGCUUGGUUUAAUGCCUUUCUUCUUCAAAACGAAGGACAAAGCCAUUCUUGGCUUUUCUACUUCGACACAAGCUCAAUCCAAACUUCAAAGAUCCCAUAUUGAUUUAAACAAUGGUGGAAUUUUUAUGGCAAUGUUCUUGAGACCAUAAUUCCAGACGUUCUACCUCUGUUUAAUCUAUUCAAAGCCCACUAUAAACCAAACAAAAUAGAAAGACGUUUUCUCCGUUUACUUCUAUUUUGUUCAAACUUUUUUCUCCUCUGGGUAUGUGUAUGGUAUUUCCAUUUCAACCAAGCAGCAGAUGGAGAAAUCAUCCUUGCCCAAAGAUUCAAAGUCAAAUGGUAGGAUAAAUUUAACCACCAAGAAAAAUUAUCUCUAAAGAUGGUACAAAGUUUUCUUUCAAAGAAUAGCUUCUUGCCACCUCUGAAAGAACAGACCACUUUCCUGGCACAGAAGUCCUUCAUUAUUCCAAAGCUAGCGGCGGCUCAAACAUAAGAAGAUUUCUUACAAUUGAUCAAACAGUUGUCGGAAACCGCCUCUCCCAAAGGAAAAUCUAAAGCUUCAUUUUCCUCUUCUAGCACCAGUUCAGCAGCAAUAGAUCUAGAUGGUGACUCGAACGAAGAUGACUGUUUUGGGAUAUUUAAGCCCAUCAAAUGACAUAUGUAAAGCCCUUAGGUUGAAAACCAGAAAUGGCAGCCCAAAAUAUUUAUAUAAUGGGCCAAAUGCCCAAUAAUAAUAAUAAAAAAAGAGUCAUUUAAAAAGAAAAGAAAGAAGACAAAAGACUCUUUAAAAAAGUAAAAGAUUCUUCACUCAAGCGUGGCAGACAACUUCUGUAAAAGUCAUAGAGCCUCUCACUCCAUUAUCAAAAGCUUACAAAAGACGUGGAGCCCCUCACUCCAUUACGAAGAGCAUCCAAAGCUUCAAUUAUGAGGCUUGAAGGCUGAAGAGCUCUAUAAAUAGAGGAGUUUUCCAAAUAAGAAACCAGACUGAAAAAUAACAAGAGUCUCUUGUAUUCUUCAAGUCAUACCAUUAGAAAUAUAGUGAGAAAAGAGAGAGUGUGAGGGUGAUAGUGAGAAAACCACAUUCCUCUUGUAUUCAAUUCCUCUUGUAAGUUAUAUUUCUUUUGUUUAAAGCUUUCCUUUUCAAAGUUUGUAUAUUUGUUCAUCUAUUAAUAAAGUUUAUCAUCUUAUCUUUCAUUCUUAUUUAAGAUUUAACAAGCGUAUACUCUGUGCUUGCCUCGUUUGAGGAUCCUGCACACCAGAAACUUGUUAGUUUGUAUAUAUAUAUAUAUAUAUAUAUAUAUAUAUAUAAAUAUAUUAAUUUUUGAGAUUUAAAAACUUUUUAAUAUAUAUGCUUAGUUUUUUAUACAUAAAACUUUUAUUUUUACAUGUGUACUUACUUUUUUUAACACAUCAAAUUCAAAAUUAUGUAUAAUUUUAUAAUUUAUAAGUUAUAUUUCUAACAAAACACUAACUAUAAUUUUAAAAAAUAAUAUAUUAAUUAUAUUUUAAUAUUAUAUUAACUAAUAAAUAGUUUUCUAAUCAUAUAAUAAUACUAAUUUUAUUCUAAAAAUAUUAUAUUAAUUAAUAAAUUAAUUAUGUAAUUAGAUAAUAAUUUUAAUUCCAAGAAAUAAUAUCUUAAAUUAUAUUUUUAAUAUUAUAUAAUUUAUUAUAUAAUAAAAUUUUAAUUUUAAAUAAUAAUAAUAUAAAUUAUAUUGAUAUAUUAAUUUAUAUGAUAUUAAAAUUUAUUAAUAAAUAUUAUCUAAAUAAUAUUUAUAUUAUUGCAUUAGUAAAAUUUUAAAAUUGUAAAAAAUUAAAAAUAUAUAAAAAUAAUUAAUUUGUUAUUAUUUUUUUGAAUAUUAUAAAUAAAUAUUAAAUAUAAAAAUUUUAUUAAAUUAUAUUUAUUAGUAUGAUCUUAUAAUUAAAAUAAUAAUAAUAGUCAUACGAUAUUUAGAUAAUUAACUAAUAUUAAUAAAUUUAAAUCCAAAUAAAACAAAAUUGUUGAUAAAAAUCUAUCAAAUAUAAGAACUUCUUGUCUUUUGUUUAAAAAGAAAAAAGCCAUAAGCAUCAUGCGACACUUGUAUUACUAAAGACAAAGGAAAAAACGUAGAAAAAGAACAAUGAAAAUCACAUUAAAUUAAAAAAAGAAAAAUAAAGGGUCAUUUGCCCCUUGAAUUUGUAGUAGUGGGUCAAAUAAGCCAAAUCUAACUUUUUGGACAAAUAAUCGCACAACUUUCAAUUUAGAGGCUCCAUAAAUCCAAAAAUUAAUGGAUGUUUAGCUCACUUUCCAUAAAAUAUUAUUAAAGUUAUAUUUUAUAUUAAUUUAUUAAAUUUUAAAAUUAUUACCUAUCUUCACUCUUGCCACUACCAUAUUUCUUGAUCACUAUUUCUAUUAUUUUCUUUACUAUUAUUGUCACUUUAUUGUUAUUCACUGUAACUAUUGUUACUUAUCUCCUAUCACUUUUUGCUCCCUACUACUAAUCUAUAAAAUUCUUUCAAUAUUAUUAAGGAAUUCAAAAAAUAAAAUAAAUUUGUAAUCUUUAAAUUCAUAUUUAUAUUUAGAUAAAUCUCGUUCUUCUAAUUAGAAAAAAUAACAUAAAAAUAAAAAUAGGACGAAUAAAAGAUAAGAAAUAUGGAUACAAAUUAUGAGAUUCAAUUUAAUAAAUACAAGUACAAAAAUAGAUCUUUGUUGCAAAUCACUAAUAAAACUCAAAUAUGAGUCAACUAUUUUUUUGAAGAUGAACUCAAAGUAUAUUGAGCUUAUGUGUUAUCAAUAGACUCCAAAUCAUCAAGAAACUUUAAGAUAACGAACUAAUAUUGAAAUGGUGGCUAUUACGGUAGUCGAUUAUAGUAUUAAUAGCAACAAUACUUAGUUGAGAUCAGAAAAAGAAUGACUUAUUGAUUUUAUCUUUCUAGUUUGCUAGCAAUCGUUGAGGAACUCUGAAACGGUGCUUGCUAUGUUGGUCGAUUGUUGUUGAUAUUGAUGAUAAUAAAAGUUAAGGAAAAUAGUUUAAUUAAUUCUUUCCAAUAUAUGCAAGAAAAGAGAGAAAAGAUGAAUAUUAGCAAUACAACGUCUAGUCCUUUUAGUAGAUAUUGCACAACACACGUGCCUUACUUAGCAUUUGGGUUUAAAUAGCCUCUAAAUUGAGAGUUCUGGGCCUAUUUGCUAAAAAAGUUAAAACUCGCCUUAUUGGACCCUUUGACACAAAAUCAGGGGGCAAUUGGAUCCUUUAUCCAGAAAAAGGAAGCGGAAAAUCAAAUGACCCGUCAGUUGCUUAUUAAUUCCCCAAGUAUAAGAGAUCUAGGGUUUCUUUUUAAAUAAAAAAAAAAAUCUUAAUGUUGAUUUCAGGUGCGAUAUCAAUGUAACAAGUGAGACAGUAAGAAAGCAGAGUAGAUAGUGAUCUUUAGAAGUAUCAAAUUUAGAUAAUAAAUGGAACAACCACAAGAAGAACAGAAGGAGGAGGAGGAGCAAGAACAAGAGUUACGGAAGGAAGCGGAAAUGGAGGAGCAGGGACAUAAUCAAUUACAGAAGGAAGAGGAGACGGAGGGCGGCCAGCAGUUAACGGAGGAGGGAAAAUUAGAGUUGCAAAAGGAGAACGAAAAGGAAAAAGAAUUGGGCAAAGAGGAGGAGGAUGAUUUACAGUUACGCGAGGAGUAUCUAGAUAAGGAGGAUGAUUUAGCGAAGGAGGAGGAGGAGGAAGAGAAGGAUGUAACGUUAUUGAAGGAGAAGGAGAAGCAACAGAUACUUGCUGAGGAUUUACAAUUACACAAGGAGGAGCAGGCUAAUUUCAACGAUAAUUUACAGUUACCUGAGGAGGAGGAGCAAUUACCCAAGCAGAAGGAGGAUAAGGAUAAUUUACCGCUACCAAUAAAGGAGCUUAAUUUACAGUUAUCAAAAGAGGUGCAAUUACCGAAGGAGAAGGAAGAGGAUGAUAAUUUACAAUUACCAAAGGAGGAUGAUUUACAGUUGGGGAAGGAAGACAAUGAUUUACAGUCACCAAAGGAGGAGGAGAAAGAGGAGAAGGAGCAACAGUUGCAGGAGGAGAAUGAUUUACAAUUAUCGAAGGAGGAGGACAAUUUACAGGUAGAGGAGGAGGAGAAGGCGGGGGACUUAGAGUUACUGAAGGAGGAGGAGGAUAGAGGUGGAAUUGAACAAGAUGCAGAGGAGAAGGAUUUUGAUAAUUCUGCAGAGUCUGACCGUAUGACUAUUGAUGAUCAAUGUGAGAAGACUCAGGAAUUGGAUGAUGAUGAUCCGCAACUGGCUGAACCUCCUUCUCCUGUUGAUGCUGAUGCUGAUGCUGAUGCUGAGACGGGGGUUGUUGGUUCGGAAGAAACAGGAGGAGGAUUAGAUGUUAAUAUGGAGGAUGUGGAGGUUGCAACUGAGGAUGGUGUUGCUGAUGUGAGUAAGGCCAAGAAGAAACGCGGCAGAACUCUGGGGAAAACUAAGCCUACUCCUCCAAGGAAGAAAAAGGAUGAGGAAGAUGUUUGUUUUAUUUGUUAUGAUGGUGGCAGCCUUGUGCUUUGUGAUCGACGGUGAGCCUUCUACUACUGCUAUGCCUGGUUAGGGAGACUCUUUUUUUUUUCCAUUUUAGCUCUCAGAUGAUGUUAACGACUUAGAUGUUGUUGUUUUGAAGUUUCUUUUUUUUUUUUUUUUUUUUUUUUUUUUUUUUUUGUACAAAUGGAAGCUUAGGGCUUUAUAUCUGUUUUAGUUUUUUGCUUGCACUUUUUGCUAUUCACUUGCUUAAUUGUUUUGGAUUAAUUUGUGGUAGGGGUUGCCCUAAGGCAUACCAUCCAGCUUGUAUCAAGAGAGAUGAAUCAUUCUUUCAAUCAACGGCUAAAUGGAAUUGUGGUAUGUCUCAGUGAAGCACUUGUUUUCUUCAUAAAUUUCAGUUCAUUAUUUUUGGACAUAUUUCAGCUGCCUACUCUCUGCACCGAAUGCUAGUAUUCCAUAACAUCAAAUUAGUUACAUGGCAGUGUUGGGUGGUUUAUGCUGAAGAUGGGCUUUUAGUUCAAAUAUGAACUUAAUUUUGCAUGUACAAGAGAGUUUCUUUUCUACUUUUAAAUUUUGUGCUGCAUAUUAGCAUGUUGCUUUUUAAUGUAUGGGUAUAUUGCUUUGCUUUCUAGCUAUAGGUUGUAAUGUCUAUCACAUCAAUUUGAAUUUUAUUCCGUUGCAAACUUGCAAUUUUAUUUCUCAAGAUUAGUGGUAGUCACAGUCAAUCUUAACGAAAGUUUCAUUCCCCUUUAUGUUUCAGACUGGCAUAUAUGUAGCAGUUGUCAGAAGGCUUCACAUUUUAUGUGCUAUACUUGUGCAUACUCAUUAUGCAAAGGAUGCACCAAAGAUGCUGAUUAUGUGUGCUUAAGAGGGAAUAAAGGAUUUUGUGGAGCAUGCAUGAGAACCAUAAUGCUGAUCGAAAAUAUUUCACCAGGAAAUACAGAAACGGUAUGUUAUAUUCUCUCUCUUUGGCUGGUUAGUUAGUCUUCUGAGAGUCAAAUUAUGGGAGAUAGAAUUACUUAAUAUUUUUCUUUGGUACCCUACUAUAGUGCAGGUUAUUAUUGUUUCCUUCAACUAAUUCUUUUUCCAAAAUUCUUUAUUUGCUGUUAAACCUUGGUUAUUCAUGUCUUUAAAGGCUGGAGCUGGGAGUGGAUUCAUGUCUAGUAAUUGGUUUUCCUUCUAAUUGUGUCAUUUUUUAGACUUAUUUUUAUCUUGCAUAUAAACAGUUGCAGGUUCAAGUGGAUUUUGAUGACAAAACUAGUUGGGAGUAUCUCUUUAAAGACUACUGGAUUGACUUAAAAGCUAAGCUGUCUAUAACAAUAGAUGAGCUAAGUAAAGCUAAAAAUCCAUGGAAAGGAGAUGAGCUACCUAAAGCUAAGAAUUCUGGGAAAGGGACUGGUGGUAUUGUUGCUACCAAGGAGGCAUCUCCAGGUGAACUUAAUCAUGAUGAUGAGAAAGACCUUUCUUUAGACAAUGGUGGAAAUGUUGAGGCAAAUCGUUCUAAGAGAAGAAAAACUAAGGAUCAAGCAAAGGUUCUCAACAAGCAGAACUCUCUAGUCAUGGAAGAUUCUGAUGUUGAUGAAGUCACUCCUUUGGCUACAGGGACAGCAUGGGCAACAAAGGAGCUUUUAGAGUUUCUUGCUCACAUGAAAAAUGGGGAUACAUCUGUGACAUCUCAGUUUGAUGUCCAGGCUCUUUUAAUAGAAUACGUAAAGAGAAACAAUCUCCGUGAUCCUCGCAAGAAAAGUCAAAUUAUUUGUGAUUCAAGACUCAGAAACCUGUUUGGGCAGCCACGUGUCGGGCAUUUUGAAAUGCUGAAGCUUGUUGAAAACCACUUUCUUAUCAAAGAAAAUUCUCCAGCUGAUGAGAGAAUGGGAGUUUCUGAUGCUGGUGGUAGUGAAGCAGAGGCUGCUGGAAGUAGUGAUAGUCGUAAUGACAGAAGACGUAAAAAGAGUAAAAAGAUGGAUGGGAGAAGAUCACGCAUAAAUUCUAAUUCGGAAGAAUAUGCAGCAAUUGAUGUUCACAACAUCAACUUGUUGUUCCUAAAGCGUAAUUUGAUAGAGAACCUAAUGGAUGAUAUUGGGAAGUUUCAUGAAAUGGUUGUUGGGUCAUUUGUGCGAAUUAGGAUUUCGGGUGGUGAUCAGAAGCAGAACAUGUACAGGCUUGUCCCGGUUGUAGGUAUUUAUAUGUCUUUCAUAAAAGGAAAAAGAAAAAGCAAUACUCCUUAAAUAAAUCUUUGAACCUUGUAUUUUGUAGCAUAUCUUCAUUGUGAUUUUUUUUAUGAUUCUUAAUUUAGGAACUAGCAAGGUGGAUGAAUCAUAUAAAGUUGGCUCUAGAACAACUGAUUUCAUGCUUGAAAUAUUAAAUUUGGACAAGAAGGAGGUUGUAUCAAUUGAUGGAAUUUCAAAUCAGGAAUUUUUAGAGGUAAGAAAUACCACAAAUAGAUCUUUCUUUUUCCUAGUUCCAAAUGUUAUACUUACUUUCAGACUUUAUAGUUCGAAGAAAUGAUUUUUUUUUUUUUUGGUUCUCCACUAUGAGCAUUUCUCAGAUGUAAUAUAAAAUGUAUUUUAGAUUUAGGGUUAAGCAGAUAGAAAUUCCUUACAAUUUAUGCAUUGUUAGCCUUUUCUGUUUAGGAAUUUCUUCUGCAAAGUUCAAAUUCCAAGAGACACAAUCACAUGGCAUACAGUUGUGCACAUCACAUGUUGUAGUGAACUAAACUAUGAAAAGCCAUUACAGGGAAUCAUGGAUUUAAUCUUGGUCAGUGUGGCUGUUUUAAGGUGUUGUAGCUAAAAUAUAAUAGUCAUGCCGUCAUGGUCAUCGCUAUUCUAAUUCUUUUUUUCUUUCUUAAAUUUGCUUCUAGGUGAGUAGUAUAUUUUUGUGGGCUUCAGCCAGCAUAAGGAUACAGUAUAACAGCCUCAAACAUGUUUUUAUGGCUGCAAAUCAUCUCACUAGUGAUUCUUGCAUACCUGUCAUUUAACAGCUUAUUAUGUAACAGUAAGCCAAAAACCUUCAUGCGAGGGCCAUUAUUUAAACCCUUAAGUUAGCAUAGCCCAGAACUUCGGGUUUCAUGAAUUCUUUUGGUUUCACAAUGGUAAAAUGCUAUGCCUGAGAUGUACUUUGUUGACUAGCAAGUGGUUGUAUCUUCCUCAACCAUAACUUUAUGUCAUCAGAUGUCAUAGUAUUCUUGCUUGCAUAUGCUGUUUAUAUCUAUUUUUUUAUAUAUAAAAUAGCUUCAAUUACUUAUCCUAUUAUUUGGACUAGUAAUGGGCAUUUUGUUUGAAUUCAUUUACAUGCUACUUGAGAGGUUCUCGAGUGUAAGCAACUCAAGUCAACUAAGCCUUAGUUCCAAUGGGUUGGCUUUUUGCCAUCCACAUUGCUUUGGCUACAUCUUCUGAGAAAUUUUAAACCAUGAGAUUUUCUUGCUUCUCCUUUUUCCAUGUCAGUUCAGGUGUACUUCCCCUUCCUUACUACGCCCACCAUAUCAACCUUUUGUGAAGGAGCUUCUGUUGGUCUACAACCUAAAUAUCAAACCAUCUCAUCUCCACUCUCAACUUUUCUUCUAUUGGAACCACUCUCACCUGUUUCUUAAUGCAGUCAUCAUGCAGUCUUUCUGUCCUUGUUUGUCAUCCAUCUUAGCGUUCCCAUUUUCUUGACACUCAUCUUGAGUGAGCAACAGUUUACAUAUUUCUUCUUUCUUCAAUAUCCUUGUUAUUCCUGUCCUUGUAAUUUUCCAAUGGAGGGCACUUGUUGGGCACCAAAUCCUUUUCCUGUUUGUUUUUAGCUAAUUUCUAUUCACAAACCGCCAAUUUGAACGAUGCCGUCUCUGAUUCACAUGAUUAUGAAUCUUCUGAAAGUUUUAUGUCAUAUUGGCAAAAUUUCACUGAUGUUUUCUUAUUUCCUUGUGCCUAGUCAAUCUUGACUAUAUUCAUGGUAUCUCGACUAAGCAAUUAAAAGUACGGAGACGUAUUAUUGCCAGUAUUAAUAGGCGUAUCAGUUGUAUUCCUCUUCUGGAUUCAUAUCAUGUGAAAAAAAACAUAGUGACUACUCUAAUAUCAUUAAAUUCACCUAGUGACUGUAUCAUUUAAUUCACCUUUUUAUAUUGGCAAUCAAGGGACUGCCUGAUCAGGUAGUAACUUGGAGGCUUGUUAAACUAUAUGUACAAUUUUGACUCCAGCUUUUAUGUACUAAGUUCCUAAUAACAUUUCCAGGAUGAAUGCAGACGUUUGCGCCAGAGCAUAAAAUGCGGGCUUGUCAAGCGGUUGACAGUGGUAAGUAUUUUCCAAAUGUUCAUUUCUGCAGUCAAGCUUUAUUAUAUCUACUCCCUCGUCCAAAAUAGAUUUUCUUGGUUUAUAGGGUGAGAUUCAGGAGAAAGCAAUGGCGCUUCAACCAUUCAAAGUCAAUGAUGUGAGUUCCUGUUAUGAUAGUUCCAUUACAUAAUUAUGAUGUAAAAUUCAAACACUAAAUUAAGGUUCUUAAACAAAAGAAAUUUAAUUUAAUUUAUGAUGGUGAUAUUGUUGUUUCAUAUUGGUUUCUUUUGAUUACUAAACCUGCUUCUCAUGUACAUGAUCAUACUCUUCUGAUUCAGUGGCUCCAAGCAGAGAUGGCAAGGCUUAAUCAUCUUCGUGAUCGAGCUAGUGAAACGGGGCGUAGAAAGGAAUAUCCUUUUCUAUAUUGGAUUAUUUUGAUCCCUUUGUUGCAUUAUUUUUCCCCUUGUGUUUGCUGAUAUUCACUGUUUUAUUAGCAAUUUAGCCCCAGUAGAGUAUUCACCAAAUUCUCUUCAGGGGCAAAGAUUCAAUUUAUGUAUUACAUGCUAUAAAAAUUUGCAAUCGGGCCCGAGGGUGCUGAGCUGGAUCAUUGGUCACAUAUUGAAAAAUGAGAUGGUGAUAACUGGACAUAUUUCUGAAAGAAAUUUGGCUUUUCGUUGCAUUUGGUAAUAUUUUAUGCUGUCAUCUUAUAUAUCUCAACUUCCUAAUACUGGCUUCACUUGUUUGUGUACUAUGCUUUGAAUUGAUUGGCUGUAGACUAUCCUAUUAUUUAUUGAUUUGUUGCAUUUUUGACAUGCAUGUUACAUUAUACAUUAGAGGUUCAAGGUCUUACUGUUAUUGCAUCCAUUGCAGUGCCUUCUAUCUUGUUCUUCCCUUCUCUUCUUGAUAAUCAAAGCUAGCCUGGGAUAAAAUAUCACAUUAUGCUGAAAGGCUGUUGAAAACAUGUUGCCUCCUUGACCAUGUUGCACGCUUAGAGAAUGUGUAGAGAAAUUAGAUCUUUUGAAGUCACCGAAGGAACGUCAGCGAAGGUUGCAUGAGGUUCCUGAUGUACACAUCGACCCAAAAAUGGAUCCAAGUUAUGAAUCUGAAGAAGAGGCUGGAGAAUCAGAUGAGAUUAAACAAGGUCCUUAGUAAUGACUUAAAGAAGCAGAACCAUUGUGAUAUGCAAUUCUGACAAUUUCUCUUGUGGAAGUUUAGCCAGUAAUAACUUCUCUAUCUUAUUUGCAGGUGACUAUGUAAGACCAAGAAGUACUGGUUUUGGCAGAAAGAUUCUAGAUCGCAAUUCGUCAAUGAGAGAUGGUGACCUAAAUGAUGUAGGAAACAGGGCACAAAAGAAUUUAGCUACUGCCUCAGAGCAAAGUAGAAACAUAACGACACCUUAUGUGGAUAGGGAAUCUAGAUGGAGUCAGGGAGGGGGAGCUUUUGGGCUGAAUAAUCAGAGUACAUCAAAGAGCCAGUUAAGCCCUACUGGCUUAGUAACUAGCGAUUGGAGUAGUCGAGCAGCAAUAAGAUCUGAAUCACAUGCUGGGGUUGCAUCAGUCGUUGUACCAUCGUCUCUUUCCUCAGGGAGAGAGGCAUCUCAUACUGAUUUUGAGACACAAAAAAUGUGGCUUUAUCAAGAUCCAUCUGGAAAAAUUCAAGGGCCAUUUUCUAUAGUGCAACUGCGCAAGUGGAGUAGCAAAGGGCAUUUUCCUCCUCAUUUCAGAGUGUGGAGGACAGGCGAGAAGCAAGAUGACUCUAUCCUUUUGACUGAUGCAUUGGAUGGCCGGGUCCCUAAGAAGCCAUAACAGUAGUCGAGUGCCUGGUGAAAGAAACAGCUGGCUGUAAUGACUGAGGAUAAAAUAUUGGAACAUGGGUUCAGGAAGAGUACUGAUGCAAUUCUUUAUACGCGAUGAAAGAUCAUGGCCUGAAGCCAGAGCAUAAUGAUAGGACUGUCCAUGGUGAUGGUGACAAUGAACUUGCAAGGGAGUUGUUGAUGCCUGCUAAAAUUCCCAAUUUAGUUUAGGAGUUUUAAUCAUCUUAUUUUUUUUUUCUUCAUUUAUGAUCUUGUCGUUAUCCUAUUAGGUUAGGAUUUAUGAUUAGGGUCGAGUAUUUUGACUACAUAUAGGGGUUUUUCGGUUGUUAAAAUGUAAUUUCAGGUAACCUUGCUUGCACAGAUCAAUAAAACACAGGUGUCUCUCAGAUCUUAUUAUUUUUCUGCCCCUCUCUUCUCUUGAUCCAAAUAAUCAUUUCCUUAUUGCUUUGAGGGUUCAUCUCUCUAUGAAGUUGAUCGUCUAAUCCCUAAAAAUGGUGUCUGCAUUGCUCUGUGGUUUAUUUCUUAGUAAGAGAUUCCUCAUUGGCCCUUAGGAUUUGGAGAAUCUAGACCAGUUGUUUCACUGUCUCUGCACCAUUGAUGAAAUACUUAAGAUAUUUUGUGAUGACCCCUUGCAAAUCUUUUUCAUCGAACUCAAAAGUUGAGUUCAUAUUUUGAGUUUUUGACUGCUUGAAAGAUAUCUGCAUUUUAGUUAUUUAUAUCACAUGGCCCGUGGGAUUCAUCUUGUACAUUUUAGUUAUUUAAGCAAUGGGUCUCUUGUUUUUGCUGUGAUUGUGGAUAAAAUUUGUAGAAAAUAUCAGCCCGGUGGUAUAAACACAGGACACACUGCGAGCCAAUUUGAGCGUACUCUGAUUUGUGAGAAUUCUGAGAGUAGGUUGACAUUGCCUGGUUUUUUUAUUUGUGAGUAUUGAGGAAACCUUAAUCGAGCAAAAGUCCUUCAUUUCUUCAAGAAUAUCAGAGAGGAUAAAGAUUGUGUUAACGUUUUUGCUGUCAGUUUGUAUAAUAACUUAGCUCUUGCAAAUCCAAUUGCACUGCGCGCAAUUGCAGCUUCUGACAAUAGGGUCAUAUCAUUUGAAUCCUUUAGAUUUAAAAAGUAACUUCGUUACCUAAAGAAAUCCCCAAGGUACUCUAUGUUAAAUAGCUGAUUUACAAUUAUUAUUUAGUGGUCAAUCCCUAGUCAUAGAUUACAGUUUAAAUUUGAACUGAAUCAUGCGUAUCCAAUAAAUUAAUCUUUUUGUAAAUAUAAACUGAAUUUUAAAUUGAAUCAAAAUAACAGAACCAAAAAAGUUAAAAAAUUUCACUUUAAAACUAAACUGAACCAAAGUAAAUUUAAUUUCUUAAAAAUAGAAAUUAAAUAAAUUGAAGUUAUCAAAAACAUAAAUCGAACCAAAUUGAAUUAUCAGUUUGAUUCAAUUUUUUUUUUUUUUUUUUUUUUUUUGGAGUUUUACUCACUAGUGUCAAGCUUGUCCAGAAAAAACUUUUAUACAUAUAAGCACAAUAUACAGUAGACAUUUUUUGGUGGCUCAAUAAUAAGAUGAUUAAUUAUAUUUGAGAUCUAAUUCAAAUAAUAAGAGUAUUUGCCUUUAAAAGGUAGAGAUCUUGAAUUUAAGCUUUCACAUCUUCGGUAGAUGAAUUAUUGCUCAGUGUAGUGAAUAUAAAAAAAUGACUAUUCUUAUUAUGUAAAUUACGGUACAUUGAGCCUCCUACGAAUCAAAAAAUAAAAUCUUUUAUGAACAAAAAAAAAGAUAUAAAUUCAUAUCAAUAUUGGUGGAUGAUAAACAAGGUAACUUAAACUCAAAACUCAUUAAUUCUUACUAGUGAAAAUACUAACUAAAAUAAUAAAAAAAGAUUGAAAUUAAUAUUAAAUAAAAUUAAUAAAAUUAAUAUUAAAUAUAAAUAAAAAAGAAAAUUUCAAUUUAAUUGAAUCUUUUUUUUAAAGAAUACUAACUAAAUCACUCGAUGAUUAGUUAUUAUGUUGUAAUUAACAUGAAAAAUUGUACAAUCUCGAUUUAAGAUCAACUAAACAAUCCACAUUUGAAAUUUGAAAUUUAGAAACUUCUUCUAUAAAAUUUCAACUAUUUAAUAUGAAUUUAGAAGUCAAAAAAUAGACAUUAUAGGUUAUGCUGAAUGUGAGAUCCGAAUCUCUCAAGAAUGGUUAAGUUAAAUUAAUUACAUCUUUUUAUUAUUUUUUUGAAGAAUAAAAUUGCUUUCAUUGAAAGAGCACUCAGAGCUCAAGAACACCAUCAGGAGCAACAUAAGGAUGAGCAUCAGGAGGAACUUCCUCAAUAAACACUUGGAACUCAUUUAAACAAAGUGCCCAUUUUGGGUCACUUAGAUGAAAGGAGAAUAUAAGAGCAAGAAAACUUGCCAAAGAAACUGGACUGGAAGUGAUUAUCUUCUAAAAUCCGUUAUAGAGGACCCUUCAUACACCCCUGAAUUCUUCUAAAUACUUGCCAAAUUUUAGACUUUAAAGAUUUUAAAAAAAUUUCAGUAAUUUAUUUUAAAUUUUAAAUUUAAAUUUGAAUGUUUAUCAAAUUUUAAAAAAAUUUAUAUCACGUUCGUAAAUUAUAAAUAAUAAAAUCUAAUAUAAUACGAAACUUUGCCGCUAACGUUGAAUGCGAAAUUGAUAUAAAUAUUCUAUUUUUUAAAGUGUUUGUGUUUCUUAUGAAAAAUUAAAAAUGAUAAAUAACUUUUGAUUUUCUUUGCAUGACCCUUUUGAGUUCUAACUAUGUGACAAUGAAAUAACUUUGUAAAAUUUCAAAAACCUUUAAAAGCAUAUGAAUUCAUGAAAUGAGAUUGAGAAUUCCAGACUUUCAUGUGCUCCAAGGUACGCGGUCACUUGUCACUUAAUUAUACCAGCUUACUUAGAAAAUUAAAUUAGAAAUAACAACAUCUUCUUCUGUUGAUUGUUAUUAUAGUUGUUAAAAUAUAGUAAAAGAACUCGACCAAUAAAACUUAAAAUUAAAAAAAAAAAUCCAAAACAGUGCCUGAAUUAGAAUAAAAUCCAUUAUUAUUGUCAAAGAUUAUCUGACAAAAGGGAAACAAAACUAAUAUCCAAACCAUCAUUUAUAAUCAAUUAUUACAUCACAAAAUGAGGGAAGAACAACAGCCAGCAAUAUCAGUUAAAUAAAUAAUAAUCAGUAACAGAAUCAUUUGCAUGAGGAUUUCUUGUUUCCUAUACAUAUUAUGUUUCUAAUACCCAAAAUUCAGACAGCAAUGUCCCAAAAAGAAAAUUCAAUAUAAAUUCUUUAUUUUUGUGGACAAAGAUAUGGAAAAUGAUGUUAUAUGUUCCCAUAACGUCCCUCAACUUUAAAAUAUAUCUAUAACGACCUUAUGUUAAGUAGUCUUAAUUUAACUUAAUUUAAUUUUUUUCUUUUUUUUGCCCAUACUAUAAAGUUUAGAACAUGUAGCUCACAUGGAGGCAUGUGGUUCUGUUGGGCCACUUGAUAGAAAAGAAAGAAAAAAAAUGAAUUAAAAUUUCCCAAAUAGGGAAUAAGAUCAUUGUUAUUCACUAAAAUGUUAUUUAAUGGUUUGUAUUUAUUUAUUAAUUGGUUUUUCCAAUGCUAACUUCAAAAACACUAAAUUAAGAUUCUGAGUCUGUAGUUAUGGAUUAACAAUUUCAAAUAAUAUGAAUGUAACUCAAAUGGUUGUUCCACAAAUAUAAGAGCUUACUCACAUCAAUAUCAUAUAACUAUCAUUAAUAUGGAAAAAUUUAGGCUUAUUAUCCAAGAAGUUGUAAGCAUUAUACUAUAAUAUAAAGAAGAUAAAAGAGUUUUUUGUUAGGCAUUUGAUCAAAUAGAACCGUCCAAUCCCUGUAAAAUCCAUUACUAAAAAAUACUUUUAGAGAAUAAAAAGGUAUUUCAUGAGAUAAAAAUAUUAAAACUAUUUAUAUUUCACGAGAGAUUCAUGAAUAAGUAGUUAUGUAAUAACAAGUAAAGGAUAUUUAUUUUUGUAUAAAAUAUGAUAUAUUAAGUUCAGGUUUCACCAAUUAAGAAGAGAUUUUCUUUUCUUAUAAAACUUAAUCUCAUCACUACCGCCUAUUAAUAUUAAUAAAAAGUCAAAUUUUAUUAUUACUGUAUAAUCAAUAUUAAUAAAAAUUUAUUAUCGCCUUUAUAAUAUGUGGUUCAACUUAUAUUCUAUUAAAAAAAGGAGAGAUUUCAUGUAUUAUUUUUGAAAAUAUAAUUUUAUCCCAUAUAUGCAUUUAUAUUGACUAUUAUUUAAAAGUGGAUAAUAAGAUUAUAUAAUUACAGAGUGCCUGAAUGACCAAAAAGAAGACUUUAAUUUACACGUAAGAAAGUCUAUGACCUAAUAUGAUAUGGAAUAUUAUGGCAUCCACUAUAAUAUAGUGGACAAAAAUCAUAAGUUUAGAGUCAAAGCUCAAAAGAAUAGGACACAACCGUUCGAUCGAGUAAGGACAAAAUCUUUAAUCAAGUACCGAAUUUUUAAUUUAUUCUUUUGAAAAACAAUUAAUUAAGCUAAAUUUUGAUUAAGAAAACUAAUUAACCAUCCCAUGAUCUUAGAUUCCAUCUUCCUCAUGCAAUUUCCUAUUGAUUAGUGUUCUAUUAUCAUAAUGUGGUGAAAAGCAAAGAGAGAAAAAUAAAAUAAUCAUGAAUAAAAAGAAAUUUGACUAGUCAAUUCCUAACAAUUUAAACAAGGAAAAUUAAUUAAUUAAGAUAUGAUGCCAUAGCAACAAAACAAAGAUUAUGAGAUAAAACAAUUAUUUCAGAGUGCUUCCUAUCCUUUGGACAUGGCAUGCUAAAAGGCAAUUGCUUUUCUUUUUGAAUAUGAUUAACUUGAAUUUCUUUAAUUUGAUCAAACUUUAAUUAUUAAUAAAACUAAAAGUAAACUCGUUGCCAGCUAAACUAAUUUUUUGGCUAUUACUUCAGUCCUUUGUUCAUAAAGGUAUGAUAUAUUCAUGAAUCGAUGCAAGACUGAAGCAACUAUAGUUUGCAAUUUAGAUUUGAGUCCCUCCCAAAGCUAAUAUAGUUAUACUACUACUAUUUCUAACUUAUGAAUUUCUUAUUCAUUACAGAGCUAACAAGAUGUGGACUGCAUGAAUUUCAUUCGUUACAGGGUUAACAAGGCGUGGAUUAUACGGUAAAAGUAGUCAUUUCUGCAAAAGAUACGAUUAUAAUUUAAAAAACCUCUUACUUUCAAUAAUAAAUACUCAUGUCACUUCAAAAAUAUAUAUUUUUAUCGCUUAAACUAAAUUUCAAAUGUUUUAACUUACUCCUUAUCGAUUGUUUUUGUAUUCCUUUAUUGAAAUAAUAUAGUGUAUGAGUCAUUAUAUAGCUCAAACUACUUUAUACCUAUUGUGUCAAAUUCAUUUCUCAGUCGGACCAAAGAUAAAUCAUGUAAUGCAAUAAGGAAAAAAGUUUGGCUUUUCAAGUAUCAUAUAUUUGUUUAAGAAAAAAGGAUGAUGAGGAAGUGAAAAAGGGACAUAAUAUCUCCUUUUAAUCCAACAUAAGAGAUCUGACUGAGUAAUUUAAGCCUUUUUCUCUUUAGUUAUUGGCAAAUAAAACCAUUUAUUUUUUAAGGUUUUCCACAUGUUAGCAUGUGAUAUAUAUAUAUAUAUAUGUAUACAUACUUCAUGAAGCAAACAAUAGGGUAAUUAAU
rnacentral:lncRNA from 1 species